rnacentral:lncRNA from 1 species
GGUAGUAUGGAGAUUCGCCGAUAGUCAAGCAGUCUAUCAGUUUUUGAUUGCUGGAAUAUAAACGACUGCAACAAUGUACCGUAAAUCUAUACGGGUGCUCUUCGACUGCUUGUCGAAGUCCUUUUUGCCCCAGCCGGUAGGUCUCUAGACGUUACAGAGAACCCCGUACAACCCAAACUGUUAACCUUCAAUACUGCUUUGUACUUACGAUCUUGUAUCCACUGACUGUCUUGUUAGAUUAACCCAAUAAAUUUCAUUCACUCCCCAUACUCAAUCCUAUAGACACCCCUUUAAUCCUUCAAUCACAGACGUAACUCGAUUUUACAAAACAGUCAAGAGUAUUCAAACCCACUUCAUUUAAAAAUCCCGAUUCACCAUUACAACACUGACUUCAGCAGCGAUUGCUUCAGUCUUCCCAAAACUCUACGAAGAAGAAAAAUCCAAAUUCUAUGUCUUUCCUUCCCCGACCCGAAGCAUGAAGCUCCUCUCUCUAAUUCCCCUGAUCUUCAAAAACCUCCAAUGAAAACCGAACUGGUAACCUUGCAAAAGCUUGAAAACUAGCUCCCCCCUCGAUUCCCUUGAAAAAGAAAAAAUCCCCCCUCAAAACUAUAUCCCACCUAACCUUAUCCUCUGAAUUUCUUCAAUCUUCCGUCUUAGAUCCGAAAUUGGCUCCCACCUCAACUUGGAUUCGAAAUUGGCUCUCGCCGCCAAGCUUUCUCCUCCGUUUUUACCUUUAAGAAAUCCAUUUACCGAAAACAACGUUCCCUGAGACGGCACAGAGAACAGGACAGCCUGAAACAGAAUCGAACCCCGUAAUCGGGACCACAUUGAGUCGCCCGACCAAUUCAGGUCCUAUAUUGGUAAAGAUGCCCGUAGUAACCUGGAUGUUCCGUAAUUGGGUCAAAUUGGUCCUCGCGUCAGAUUGGCUAAGACCCGUAGUAAGACCUGGAUUUCCCGUAACUAGACUGCAUUGGGUUGCCCCACCAAUACAGGUCUCAUAUUGGGUAAGAGGACCCGAAUUGGAUUAUCGAAAUUGGAUCCAAUUGGCUCCUCGAACCCGUCGUGUGAAUUGGUCCUUCUCUUCCUGUUGACUCCUGUUAUUGGAAUCGAAUGGGGCAUUUCAGUAUGCCCCGACUGACUGUAACGGAGUCACUGAACCUGACCACUCAGUAUUUGUACUGGAGUUGGUCGAUGCUCCCAAUAUUCGAGGUAACUGAAUAUUAAUAAAAUUCCCCUUUCUUUUUAUUUUCACUGUAUACUCGUGUCACAACUCGACAUCCACCCCCUCUGAACUUGUGCAUCCUCCGGUAUGCACCAAUUUAUCCAAUUGCUGUUUGAUUCAGAAUAUACCCUCUACGUCUUUGUCCAGUUCGUCUUCGUUACCUUCAUUAUCCAUAUCACUUUCAUCUUCUUGCUGCGGAAUCUCUGUACCUUCAUUAAGGUCUUCCAUAUUCAUCUCCGCGUGUCUUCGUUUAAAUAUUUUUACUCUCUUCCCUGCAAUUGGUAUUUUCAAUUUUGUACCAUCUAACUCCCGUAAUGAGUAAGUCGCAUUAUCAUGAACAGUUGUUACAACAUAUGGUCCAAACCAACGUUUUGAAAAUUUCCGCAAAGUACUAUGUUGAUUAUCCAGACUAUUGUCAUAAACAAGUACCCAGUCACCAUCCUCGAUUACUUUAGGUCUCAAUCGAUGUUGCUUAUCGAAUCGCGCCUUGUUUUGUAACCUUGCUCUUUUUAACCUUUCCAAUGCUAUCUGGACAUCUUCCGUUCUUUGCUCCAAUUGUCGAAUCCUAAUAGCCAGAAGUUCUUCUCUUAUCAAUCCAUCUUCCCAUGGUAGCAUACUCCAAGUAAGUACCUUUUCUUCAAUCGGCAUAAUUGGUUUUUGACCUGUCAUAAGUUCUACUGGCAUAUAUCCUGUCACCGAACUAUGUGUUGUUCGAUCAGCCCAUAAUGCAAAUGACAAAAGCCGUGGCCACUCUUUAACCUUCCCAUUACAAGCUUUAACCAAUGCUUUCACAAUCGGCGGGUGACCGCGUUCGCUUUUCGCAUUCCCUUCCGGAUUAUAAGCAGUAGUCAGUGAUAGUUUAACUCCACAUCUUUCAAAGAACUUACGAGCUUCUUGUGCAUUUAAUUCUCCACGAUCUGCAGUGAUUUUUCCUACGCACCCGUAACGGCAAAUGACAUCUUCAAGCAAAAACCUACAAAUCCCCUCUGUAGAUUUUGUCCUCAAUGCUCUUCCUUCUACUUGAUUUGAUAAAUCUUCACGAGCUAAAACCAAAUAUCUCAUCUGCCAUAACCCAACCGGCAUAAUAACCAAAUCAACAACCCAUUUAAAAUGAAUAGCCAGAGGAUACGUAGGAUGAAGACCAUCUCGAUGUCGGAUAUUAGAAUACGAUUGACAGAUUUCACAUGACUCUACAAAUGAGAGCACAUCUCGAUACAUAUUUUUCCACCAAUAUCGUUCCUUGAGUUUAGCAAAAGUAGCCCAGAUUCCUCUAUGCCCUGCCCAUAAACUAUCAUGAAACUCCUUUAAUAAUUUUAGUUUUUCUUCCUUUUUGCCUAUCACUCAUUGUGGCAUCCCAAUUCCUUUCUUCGGUCUCUUACAUAAGAAUCCAUCUCGAAGUAAAAAUCCAUAUGCUUUUAUUCUUAUUUGUUUGAAUUUUUCUGUAGACCGAUUCCCCUGCUUAGACAAGGUAUUCAAAUAAUGACCAAUAUCCAAUAAUUCUCCUUCAUAAGCUCUUCAAGAAAUAGCNNNNNNNNNNNNNNNNNNNNNNNNNNNNNNNNNNNNNNNNNNNNNNNNNNNNNNNNNNNNNNNNNNNNNNNNNNNNNNNNNNNNNNNNNNNNNNNNNNNNNNNNNNNNNNNNNNNNNNNNNNNNNNNNNNNNNNNNNNNNNNNNNNNNNNNNAGGCACCUUCAUCUCGCGAGGAGUACCUCCUCUUUUGUACCUCCAUAAUCUCGCUUUAUAGUGGUACCUCCCCAAAAUCCUUAAAUCCUUCAACAAUCUUUGGCAAUGGUUUCUCCCUCAACCUAUCUCGAUUCCGUUCAUGGUUAGGAGGUACUGUUAGAAAUUGUACAGCUUUCCUCCCAUCUUCGCUCCGUACCCUUGCAUAAGUAGAACCAUCGUCAAGUACCUUUGUUUCCAUCCGUGUUGCCGUGAUAUAAGGUUGUCCUAAAAUCAACGGAUAAGACGUAUCUUGAACGAAGAAAUGUUGCUCCGUCGCAACAUCCCCAAUCCGAAUUUUGACAUCUGGACAAGCUCCAUAUAAUUUGCCUCGUGUGUUAUUAGCUGCUCGUAUUGCCCAUCCAUGUUCCAUAUCAAUUGGCCAUUUUUGCUUCUUAUAAAGAUCUUUAGACAUGAGAUUUAUUUCAGAACCAUGGUCCACCAAAGUAACUAUUGGUUCUUCUAUAUCUCCUACCUUCACCAAUACCUCAGUAGUUGCUCUUGUCCAAUGCUUUCGAGUAUAAUGGCUCAAAGUUUCCAUUUCCUUGUCACUAGAAUCUUCGAAAUGUACUCGCUGAUUAUACCCAUUCUUUUCAUUUGUUGGUUGCUUGUAACCAAUAUCAACCUCUUCUUCAUCUCUACAUAUUCUUGCAUCAAUAGCAUGACUCAUUCCAGUUUCGCUCAUUAAUUGCCUCUUUCGCUUAAUGCUGUCAAUGAUAACAUCAUGAAACUCCUUCUUUGCAAUUCCCAAGACUUCUUUCAAUGUGAAUUCCACCUUAGCAUUUAAUAUACGUUCUUCCAACACCCCUUUCAAAUUUGUUGCCGCUUCAAUGUUAGAAAGUAGCUUAUAAGCAAUUGAUUUGCCCUUAUCUUUUGUCUCCGUUGUUUUUUCUCCCAAUGAUGCUGAGGUAUCCUUUACAGGCAAUUCUUGUGAAGCUACCUCCCGAGCCUUGUCUCCUCGAGUUUGUCUCUUAAAAGAAUUUCCUUCUCUAGUAUCAUCAAAAUUUCCUCGUCUUUUUUCUUCCAUCAAAGCUUCAUGUUGGCUCUUAGCAAUAUAUGCAUGAACUGAAAGAGACUCAACAGGAUCCUCCCAACCUGUUCUUCCUCGUAUUGUAGCUGCAGUUCUCAAUAACGCUUCUCGAGGUAAUUUCUCUUCUUGCAUUGUAGAAACGGCAGAAGUCCAAAACUCACUAGUUUCCGUACUUCCACCAAUUUCAUUAUCUACUCUAGCACCAUAACUUGCACUUUCUCGUGCUACUGUUUCAUGCCCCUUUAAGUAAUCUUGAACCAAUGCUCUCAUUCCUCCCUUGCCAAAAUUGGUUUGAAGAAGAUCCUCCCUAUCUUUCAAUGCUAUCUUCCCAUCUUUUCAACAAAUAAUUCCCUGCCAUAUCAUAUUAUUAAAUUCAUUGCAAUCUUUUCUAGUGUGUGAAGCAUCAUCACACUAAAUGCAUCUUUGUACAUACCCUUGUUUUGAAACAUUCUUCGAAUUGUUUAUAGAAGUAUUCUCUUCAAGUCUUGCCAAUUUGAUUUGAAGAUCUCGCAUUCCUCGUAUAAUUUCUUCCAUUCCCAUAUGUGCUUUCUUUGAUAAGGAUGUCGAAGGUUGAACUGUAGGCAUUGUUGGUGGUGUUGUACGUACUGGAGCUUUGGGUGCUUAUACUGUUUUCAAAAUAUUGCUCCUAUCCUUCCUCCUUUCUCUUUUUGCAAGCAAUUCCACCGCAUCUUUAACGUUCUUCCACUUUGUUGUCAAUCCUUCAUCUUCUUCUUUGUCUUUAAGAAGGAGUUCUAAUUUUCCUUGCAAUUCUCCAUCAGCAGCUUGAAGAAAUAGAUCAACUUUGUUCAGCUCUAAUGUCAAUUUUUCUACCUUCGAUAAUCGAGAGUACUGCCUCUCAAAUUCCCUUAGUAGCUCUGUUGCUUGCAAAUUCUUAUUAGGCCGUUCAAUCCAUUCCAGAAACAACUUCUUAGUAACGCGAUCAGCAUCUUCCAAGAAAUAUUCCUCUUUCAAUGCAUGUGAAAAAUUCUCCCAUGAAUUCCCAGAACGAUCCGUAAUCGAUGUAAUGUGGUCCCUUAUCUCCGGUAUCAUGGCAAGUCCAAAUAGUGCAACCAUUUUCUUCUCAGAAAUUCGAUUUAAUUCCAUUUCACGAACAUAACAUCUUAAAUACCUUGAAAUAUUCCUCCCAUCAAAUUGAUCAAUUUUAUUGACCACUGCUUGCAAUGCUUUGGUUGCCAAAGCUUCCUUUCGAUCAUUGCUUUGCUGUUGCUGCAUUGACAGUGAGAAGGCUUGAAACAAACUAGCAAUAGACGGAUCCAUGUGCAUACCUUGUCCUUUAGAAGACUCCCCACCAGAAACUUCUCCCAAAAAUCCUUCAAAAUUUUUAUUUUCGUUUUCCAUAAAAAUAAAGAUAAAAUCAACCAAAAUCCAAUACCUUCUACCUCAAGCUUUCACGUCGGGUUCACCACUUAUGUCGUAUUACGUGCUUUCCUGCUCAAGAACGCGCCGGGCGUCUGGCUGUAGAAGGUAGUAUGAAGAUUCACCGAUAGUCAAGCAGUCUAUCAGUUUUUGACUGCUGGAAUAUAAACGACUGCAACAAUGUACCGUAAAGCUACACGGGUGCUCUUCGACUGCUUGUCGAAGUCCUUUUUGCCCCAGCCGGUAGGUCUCUAGACGUUACAGAGAACCCCGUACAACCCAAACUGUUAACCUUCAAUACUGCUUUGUACUUACGAUCUUGUAUCCACUGACUGUCUUGUUAGAUUAACCCAAUAAAUUUCAUUCACUCCGCAUACUCAAUCCUAUAGACACCCUUUUAAUCCUUCAAUUACAGACGUAACUCGAUUUUACAAAAUAGUCAAGAGUAUUCAAACCCACUUCAUUUAAAAAUCCCGAUUCACCAUUACAACACUGACUUCAGCAGCGAUUGCCUCAGUCUUCCCAAAACUCUAUGAAGAAGAAAAACCCAAAUUCUAUGUCUUUCCUUCCCCGACCCGAAGCAUGAAGCUCCUCUCUCUAAUUCCCUUGAUCUUCAAAAAACCCCCAAUGAAAACCGAACUGGUAACCUUGCCAAAACUUAAUAACUAGCUCCCCCCUCGAUUUCCCUCAAAAAAAAAACCACCCCCAAAACUAUAUCGCACCUAACCUUAUCCUCUGAAUUUCUUCAAUCUUCCGUCUUAGAUCCGGAAUUGGCUAACACCUCAAGCUUAGAUCCGAAAUUGGCUCUCGCCGUCAAGCUUUCUCCUCCGUUUUUGCCUUUAAGAAAUCCAUUUACCGAAAACAACGUUCCUUGAGACGGCACAGAGAACAGGACAGCCUGAAACAGAAUCGAACCCCGUAAUCGGGACCACAUUGAGUCGCCCGACCAAUUCAGGUCCUAUAUUGGGAAAGAUGCCCGUAGUAACCUGGAUGUUCCCGUAAUUGGGUCAAAUUGGUCCUCGCGUCAGAUUGGCUAAGAUCCGUAGUAAGACCUGGAUUUCCCGUAAUUAGACUCCACUAGGUUGACCGGCCAAUUCAGGUCUCAUAUUGGAUAAGAGGACCCGGAUUGGAUUAUCGAAAUUGGAUCCAAUUGGCUCCUCGAACCCGUCUUAUGAAUUGGUCCUUCUCUUCCUGUUGACUCCCGUUAUUGGAAUCGAAUGGAGCAUUUCAGUAUGCCCCGGCUGACUGUAACGGAGUGACUAAACCUGACCACUCAGUAUUUGUACUGGAGUUGGUCGAUGCUCCCAAUAUUCGAGGUAACUGAAUAUUAAUAAAAUUCCCCUUUCUUUUUAUUUUCACUGUAUAAUCGUGUUACAACACGACACCGGUAGGUCUCUAGACGUUAUAGGGAACUCCGAACAAUCCAAACUGCUAAUCUUUGAUACCACUUUAUACUCACGAUCUUGUAUCCACUGACUGUCUUGUUAGAUUAACCUAAUAAAUUUCAUUCACUUUGCAUACUCAAUCCUAUAGACACCCUUUUAAUUCUUCAAUAACAGACGUCACUUUGAUUUCACAAAACAAUCAAGAGUAAUCAAACCCACUUCAUUAAAAAUCCCGAUUCAUAAUUACAACAAUGACUUCAGCAAUGAUUGAUCUUCAGCAAUCCGGGUCUUCUUACCCAAUAUGAGAUCCCCAUAAUUAGACCGCAUUGGGUUGCCCGACCAAGUCAGGUCUCAUAUUGGGUAAGAAGACCCGGAUUGAAUGUCUUGAAAUUGGAUCCAAUUGGCUCUUCGAACCAGGCUCACCCGUCGUUUAAUUGGUCCCAUCAUCGUCUUUUUCCAGUUCGUCUUCGUCACCUUCAUUAUCCAAAUCACUUUCAUCUUCUUGCUACGGAAUCUCUAUACCUUCAUUAAGGUCUUCCAUAUUCAUCUCCACGUGUCUUUGUUUAAAUAUUUUUACUUGCUUCCCUGCAAUUGGUAUUUUCAAUUUUGUACCAUCUAACUCCCGUAAUGAGUAAGUCGCAUUAUCAUGAACAGUUGUUACUACAUAUGGUUCAAACCAACGUUUUGAAAAUUUCCGCAAAGUACUAUAUUGAUUAUCCAGACUAUUGUCAUAAACAAAUACCCAGUCACCUUCUUCGAUUGCUUUAAGUCUCAAUCGAUGUUGCUUAUCGAAUCGUGCCUUGUUUUGUAACCUUGCUCUUUUUAACCUUCCCAAUGCUAUUUGCACAUCUUCUGAUCUUUGCUCCAAUUGUCGAAUCCUAAUAGCCAGAAGUUCUUCUCUUGUCAAUCCAUCUUCCCAUGGUAGCAUAUUCCAAGUAAGUACCUUUUCUUCAAUCGACAUAAUUGGUUUUCGACCUGUCAUAAGUUCUACUAGCAUAUAUCCUGUCACCAAAUUAUGUGUUGUUCGAUCAGUCCAUAAUGCAAAUGACAAAAGCCGUCGCCACUCUCUAACUUUCCCAUUACAAGCUUUAACUAGUGCUUGAUGGGUGAUUGCGUUCGCUUUUUGCAUUCCCUUUCAGAUUAUAAGCAGUAGUCAGUGAUAGUUUAACUCCACAUCUUUCAAAGAACUUACGAGCUUCUUGUGCAUUUAAUUCUCCACGAUCUACAGUGAUUUUUCCUACGCAUCCGUAGCGGCAAAUGACAUCUUCAAGCAAAAACCUACAAAUCCCCUCUGUAGAUUUUGUCUUCAAUGCUCUUCCUUCUACUUGAUUUGAUAAAUCUUCACGAGCUAAAACCAAAUAUCUCAUCUGCCAUAACCCAACCGGUAUAAUAACCAAAUCAACAACCCAUUUAAAAUGAAUAGCCAGAGGAUACGUAGGAUGAAGACCAUCUCGAUGUCGGAUAUUAGAAUACGAUUGACAGAUUUCACAUGACUCUACAAAUGAGAGCACAUCUCGAUACAUAUUUUUCCACCAAUAUCGUUCCUUGAGUUUAGCAAAAGUAGCCCAGAUUCCUCUAUAUCCUACCCAUAAAUUAGCAUGAAACUCCUUUAAUAAUUUUAGUUUAUCUUCUUUUUUGCCUAUCACUCGUCAUGGCAUUCCAAUUCCUUUCUUCGGUCUCUUCCAUAAGAAUCCAUCUCGAAGCAAAAAUCCAUAUGCUUUUUUUCUUAUUUGUUUGAAUUUUUCUGUAGACCAAUUUUCGUACUUAGUCAAGGUAUUCAAGUAAUGAUUAAUAUCCAAUAAUUCUCCUUCAUAAGAUUCUUCAAGAAAUAGCUUGUCUUCCCUAUUGAGAUUUGAUAUUGAAUAGAAUUUCAAUCCGACGUCAUCAAUGUCUUCAACCAUUUCGUCCUCCCUCUCGUAUCUUGCUUGAGAUAGCAUGUCUGCUACUAAAUUGUCCUUCCCGAUAACAUACUUAAAUUCUGGAUUUAGUGACUUAAUAUAAGCAAUCCAUCUCAACAUUGCACUAUCUGGCGUUGAACAGUUAGUAAUCAUUUCGAGCAAUGGCAAGUAAUCUAUUUCAAUUACUACUACUGCCCCAAUCAAAUAGUCCUUUUCAGCUUUCAUAGCCGACACAACUCCCCAAAGUUCUCUUUUGACUUGCGAGUAUACACGCUGUCGUAUUACGUGCUUUCCUGCUCGAGAACGCGUCGGGCGUCUAGCUGUAGAAGGUAGUAUGGAGAUUCGCCGAUAGUCAAGCAGUCUAUCAGUUUUUGAUUGCUGGAAUAUAAACGACUGCAACAAUGUACCGUAAAUCUAUACGGGUGCUCUUCGACUGCUUAUCGAAGUCCUUUUUGCCCCAGCCGGUAGGUCUCUAGACGUUACAGAGAACCCCGUACAACCCAAACUGUUAACCUUCAAUACUGCUUUGUACUUACGAUCUUGUAUCCACUGACUGUCUUGUUAGAUUAACCCAAUAAAUUUCAUUCACUCCCCAUACUCAAUCCUAUAGACACCCCUUUAAUCCUUCAAUCACAGACAUAACUUGAUUUUACAAAACAGUCAAGAGUAUUCAAACCCACUUCAUUUAAAAAUCCCGAUUCACCAUUACAACACUGACUUCAGCAGCGAUUGCUUCAGUCUUCCCAAAACUCUACGAAGAAGAAAAAUCCAAAUUCUAUGUCUUUCCUUCUCCGACCCGAAGCAUGAAGCUCCUCUCUCUAAUUCCCCUGAUCUUCAAAAACCUCCAAUGAAAACCGAACUGGUAACCUUGCAAAAGCUUGAAAACUAGCUCCCCCCUCGAUUCCCUUGAAAAAAAAAAAAAUCCCCCCUCAAAACUAUAUCCCACCUAACAUUAUCCUCUGAAUUACUUCAAUCUUCCGUCUUAGAUCCGGAAUUGGCUCCCACCUCAAGCUUGGAUCCGAAAUUGGCUCUCGCCGUCAAGCUUUCUCCUCCGUUUUUGCCUUUAAGAAAUCCAUUUAUCAAAAACAACGCUCUCUGAGACGGCAGAGAGAACAGGACAGCCUAAAACAGAAUCGAACCCCGUAAUCGGGACCACAUUGAGUCGCCCGACCAAUUCAGGUCCUAUAUUGGUAAAGAUGCCCGUAGUAACCUGGAUGUUCCCGUAAUUGGGUCAAAUUGGUCCUCGCGUCAGAUUGACUAAGACCCGUAGUAAGACCUGGAUUUCCCGUAACUGGGUCAAAUUGGUCCUCGCGUCAGAUUGGCUAAGACCCGUAGUAAGACCUGGAUUUCCCGUAACUAGACUGCAUUGGGUUGCCCCACCAAUACAGGUCUCAUAUUGGGUAAGAGGACCCGGAUUGGAUUAUCGAAAUUGGAUCCAAUUGGCUCCUCGAACCCGUCGUGUGAAUUGGUCCUUCUCUUCCUGCUGACUCCCGUUAUUGGAAUCGAACGGGGCAUUCCAGUAUGCCUCGGCUGACUGUAACGGAGUCACUGAACCUGACCACUUAGUAUUUGUACUCGAGUUGGUCGAUGCUCCCAAUAUUCGAGGUAACUGAAUAUUAAUAAAAUUCCCCUUUCUUUUUAUUUUCACUGUAUACUCGUGUUACAACACGACAACGCUGACAAAUACUUAAAACUUUAGCCCCAAAUCAAACUGCAAAUCUAUUCCCAUUUGAAUCAUCUUGACCCACAGCCCAUCCAAUGGCAAUUGGACUAGCGUCUACAGUAAGAAUCACUGGUCUAUUGCACUUAUAAUCAACCUUCCUCAAUAUUAGAGGUGACAUCAAUAAUUUCUUCAAUCUUUGCAUUGCCUGAAUAUGCCUUUCUUCCAAUCUAAAUCGGUAGCCAUUGCAUAACAGUUCAUAUAAUGGAUCCGCUAUGUGAGCAUAAUGACGAAACUAGAUUCGAUAAAAUGCACAUGCAUCCAAAAACUUACGAACCUCUGUUAAAGAAUCACAAUCCUCUUUCAUCCUUCCAAUUGCAUCAACUUUAGUCGGAUCUGGUUUUCUUCCGUAAGAUCCACAUAAAUGUCCAACAAUCACAACCUCUCGUACUCCAAAUAUGGACUUCAUACCCGAUAAUGUAAGAUGAACUUCUCCAAGCCGAGUUAAAAUCUUUUCACAAUCUUGUAUAUGAUCAACAACAUAUUUGUGACACCCCCUCAAAUCUAAAGUUUCAUCCUUGUGUCCUUCUCUGCACCUUUUUAUAGGAACAUCAUCCAGAAAAGGCAUAGUCUUUUUCAGAAUAAAAUCUUUCAAUACCUUAUUCAUCCCAUUUAUCAUAUGCGCAACUGAGUUGGUCGCGCCUUGAGGAAGAGUGCACAUUCUAACCAAUCCAAGUAGUGUCCUCAUUGUUGUCAUAUCUCUACUUCCUUUGACAAGUUGAAAUUGAUCAUAACCUAAAUACAAGGCACCCAUUGAAUAGAUCGCCCUUCCAGCAAACGCCUCGGUAAAUUCAUCCACAAUAGGUCCAAUUCCUGCAUUCCUGACAGUUACUUCAUUCACCAGUUGCAUAUCUUGAAUAAACCAUAGUGACCCAUUCUUCUUAGGUACCGUAAACCAUUGACUAGAAUACGGCACAAAUGAAGGUUCCAAUAUUUUCAUCUUUAUCUUUUUUUUUAAUAGUUCCACCAAUUUAGGUGAAUGUGUCCUCAGUACUGGAAUCGGUCUUAGAUUCCAAGGUACAUGUGGUACAGUGAAGAUAACCAUAGGUGUUAUAAUAUUUGAAUCCACACACCCAAUUUCAUGAGAUUCGAAAGCAAACGAUCUACCUUGUUUAGCCAACAUCUUUUUGAAGCAAGUAAUUUCCUCCGGCAGUAAAGAACCAUCAUAACCAAUCUUCAAUUCUUUAAAAGUUUCUUUAGUAAACUGAUGUCUUAUACUCAUUGGAUCUCUUAAACUUGCUUCUUUUGAUGCUUCUCCCAUUUGUUCUUUAGAAUCUUCUGGUAAUGGUCCGGCAACAGCCUUUACCUUCUUAUCUACCGUUUUAUAUCUCGUCUCUAUAGUGACUUCUGGUGCUUGAAAAGAUUCAAGUAUGGUAUAAACCUCUCUUGAAUGAAUCUCAAUAAUCUUAUCAUUAUCUCCUAAUCCAAUAGAUGUAAUCAAUUCCAAUAAAUCUUCCAAUCCAUUUUCUUCAUAAACACCUAAAAUCCUCUCAUCAUCUUGUAAUGUACCUAACUUACAUAAUUCUCUUUCAAUAUUAUAUAAUCUUUUUCUUUCUUUUCUUUUAAAAUCAUUAAUUUUCUUAUACAUAAUAUUUCUAUUCUCCAAUAUACCAAUAAAACUCGCAUCAAAGGCACCUUCAUCAUGCAAGAGUACCUCCUCUUUUAUACCUCCAUAAUCUCGCUUUACAAUGGUACUUCCCCAAAAUCCUUAAAUCCUUCAACAAUCUUUGGCAAUGGUUUCUCCCUCAACCUAUCUCGAUUCCGUUCAUAGUUAGGAGGUACUGUUAGAAAUUAUACAGCUUUCCUCCCAUCUUCGCUACGUACCCUUGCAUAAGCAGAACCAUCGUCAAGUACUUUUGUUUCCAUCUGUGUUGUCAUAAUAUAAGGUUGUCCUAAAAUCAACGGAUAAGACGUUGUAUCUUGAACAAAGAAAUGUUGCUCCGUCGCAACAUCCGCAAUCCGAAUUUUGACAUCUGGACAAGCUCCAUAUAAUUCACCCCGUGUGUUAUUAGCUGCUCGUAUUGCCCAUCCAUGUUCCAUAUCAAUUGGCCAUUUUUGCUUCUUAUAAAGAUCUUUAGACAUGAGAUUUAUUUCAGAACCAUGGUCGACUAAAGCAACUAUUGGUUCUUUUAUAUCUCCUACUUUCACCAAUACCUCAGUAGUUGCCUUUGCCCAAUGCUUUCGAGUAUAAUAGCUCAAAGUUUCCAUUUCCUUAUCACUAAUUUUUGAAACGUACUCGUUGAUUAUACCCAUUCUUUUCAUUUGUUGGUUACUUAUAACCAAUAUCAACCUCUUCUUCAUCUUUAUAUAUUCUUGCAUCAAUAGCAUGACUCAUUCUAGUUUUGCCCAUUAAUUGCCUCUUUCGCUUAAUGCUAUCAAUGAUAACAUCAUGAAACUCCUUCUUUGCAAUUUCCAAGACUUCUUUCAAUGUGAAUUCCACCUUAGUAUUUAAUAUACGUUCUUUCAACACCCCUCUCAAAUUUGUUGCCGCUUUAAUGUCAGAAAGUAGCUUAUAAGCAAUUGAUUUGCCCUUAUCUUUUGUCUCCCUUGUUUUUUCUUGCAAUGAUGCUGAGGUAUCCUUUACAGGUAAUUCUUGUGAAGCUGCCUCUCGAGCCUUGUCUCCUCGAGUUUGCUUCUUCAUUGCAAUCUUUUCUAGUGUGUGAAGCGUCAUCACACCAAAUGCAUCUUUGUACAUAUCCUUGCUUCGAUACAUUCUUCAAAUUGUUUGUAGAAGUAUUCUCUUCAAGUCUUGCCAAUUUGAUUUGAAGAUCUCGCAUUUCUCAUAUAAUUUCUUCCAUCUCCAUAUCUGCUUUCCUUGAUAAGGAUGUCGAAGGUUGAACUGUAGGCAUUGUUGGUGGUAUUGUACGUAUUGGAGCUUUAGGUGCUUCUACUGUUUUCUGAAUAUUGCUCCUAUCCUUCCUCCUUUCUCUUUUUGUAAGCAACUCCACCGCAUCUUCAACGUUCUUCUACUUCGUUGUCAAUCCUUCAUCUUCUUCUUUGUCUUCAAGAAGGAGUUCUAAUUUCUCUUGCAAUUCUCCAUGUGCAGCUUGAAGAAAUAGAUCAACUUUGUUUGGCUCCAAUGUCAAUUUUUCUACCUUCGACAAUUGAGAGUACUGCCUCUCAAAUUCCCUUAGUAGCUCUGUUGCUUGCAAAUUCUUAUUGGGCCGUUCAAUCCAUUCCAGAAACAGCUUCUUAGUAACACGAUCAGCAUCUUCCAAGAAAUAUUCGUCUUUCAAUGCAUGUAAAAAAACCUCCCAUGAAUUCCGAUAAUGAUCCGUAAUCGAUAUAAUAUGAUUUUUUAUCUCCGGUAUCGUGGCAAGUCCAAAUAAUUCAACCAUUUUCUUCUCACAAACCCAAUUUAAUUCCAUUUCACGAACAUAACAUCUUAAAUACCUUGAAAUAUUCCUUCCAUCAAAUUGAUCAAUUUUAUUGACCACUGCUUGUAAUGCUUUGGUUGCCAAAGCUUCCUUUCGAUCAUUGCUUUGCUGUUGCUGCAUUGAUAAUGAGAAGGCUUGAAACAUACUAGCAAUAGACGGAUCCAUGUACAUAUCUUAUCCUUUAAAAGAACCCCCACCAGAAACUCUUUCCAAAAAUCCUUCAAAAUUUUUAUUUUCGUUAUCCAUAAAAUAAAAAUAAAAUCAAAUGAAAUCCAAUACCUUCCACCUCAAGCUUUCACGUCGGAUUUACCACUUUAUAUCAUAUUACGUGCUUUCCUACUCGAGAACGCGCCGGGGGUCUGGCUAUAGAAGGUAGUAUAGAGAUUCACUAAUAUUCAAACAGUCUAUCGAUUUUUGACUGUUAGAAUAUAAACGACUGCAAGAAUGUACCGUAAAUCUAUACGGAUACCCUUCAACUGCUCGCCGAAGUCCUUUUUGCCCUAGCCGAUAGGUCUCUAGACGUUAUAGAGAACCCCGAACAACCCAAACUGCUAAUCUUUGAUACCACUUUAUACUCACGAUCUUGUAUCCACUGACUGUCUUGUUAGAUUAACCCAAUAAAUUUCAUUCACUCCGCAUACUCAAUCCUAUAGACAUCCUUUUAAUUCUUCAAUCACAGACGUCACUUCGAUUUCACAAAACAAUCAAGAAUAAUCAAACCCACUUCAUUAAAAAUCCCGAUUCACCAUUACAACAAUGACUUCAGCAACGAUUGCCUCAGUCUUCUCAAAACCCUAUGAAGAAAAAAAACCCCAAUUCUCUGUCUUUUUUGCCCUUCCUGAAGCAUGAAGCUAGCUCUCCGACCCUUCUAAAACUUAUUCUCCUCUUUAAUCCUAAUUCUCCCCUCUAUCAAACCCUAGCCUCUGAUUUUCUUCAAUCUUCCGUCUUGGAUAUGGAAUUGGCUCCCACCGUCAAAGCUUUCUCCUCCAUUUUUACCUUUAAGAGAUUCUUUUACCAAAAGGACGUUCCCGGAACAGCACAAAGAACGAAAUAGCCUGAAACGGAAUUGAAACCCCCGUUGUCAUAUGACGUGCUUUCCUGCUCGAGAACGUGCGGGGCGUCUGGCAGUAGAAGGUAGUAUGGAGAUUCGCCAAUAGUCAAGCAAUCUAUCAAUUUUUGACUAUUGGAAUAUAAACGACUACAAGAAUACACCGUAAAUCUAUACCAAUGCCCUUCGACUGCUCGCCAAAGUCCUUUUUGUCCCAGCCGGUAGGUCUCUAGACGUUACAGAGAACCCCGAACAACCCAAACUGCUAAUCUUCAAUAUCGCUUUAUACUCACGAUCUUGUAUCCACUAACUGUCUCGUUAGAUUAAUCCAAUAAAUUUCAUUCACUCUGCAUAUUCAAUCCUAUAGACACCCUUUUAAUUCUUCAUCACAGACGUAACUCGAUUUCACAAAACAGUCAAGAGUAAUCAAACCCACUUCAUUAAAAAUCUCGAUUCACCAUUACAACACUGACUUCAGCAACGAUUGCCUCAGUCUUCCCAAAACCCUAUGAAGAAAAAAAAAAACCCAAUUCUCUGUCUUCUUUUCCCGCCCGAAGCAUGAAGCUAGCUCUCCUUCCAUCCUUCAAAAACCUCUCCAAAAACUUAUUCUCCCUUUUAACCUUAUCCUCUGAAUUUCUUCAAUCUUCCGUCUUGGAUCCGGAAUUGGCUCCCAUCGUCAGAGCUUGGAUCCGAAAUUGGCUCUCAUCGUCAGAGCUUAGAUCCAAAAUUGGCUCUCGCCGUCAGAGCUUUCUCUCCCAUUUUUACCUUUAAGAGAUCCUUUUAUCGAAAAUAACGUUUCUUGAAACGGCACAGAGAACAGGACAGCCUGAAACAGAAUCGAAACCCCGUAAUCGGGACCACAUUGAGUCGCCCGACCAAUUCAGGUCUCAUAUUGGCUAAGAGUCUAGUAGUAAGACCCGAAUGUCCCCGUAAUUGGAUCAAAUUGGUCCUUCAUAUCAGAUUGGCUGAGGCCCAUAGUAAGACCUGGAUUUUCUCGUAAUUAGACUACAUUGGAUUGCCCGACCAAUUCAGGUCUCAUAUUGGGUAAGAGGACUCGGAUUGGAUUCUUGAAAUUGGAUCCAAUUGGCUCUUCAAACCAGGCUCACUCGUCGUGUGAGUUGGUCCUUUCUCUUUCUGCUGACUCCCGUUAUCGGAAUCGAACGGAGCAUUUCAGUAUGCCCUGGCUGAUUGUAACGGGGUGACUGAACCUGGCCACUUAGUAUUUGCCAUGGAGUUGGUCGUUGCUCCCAAUAUUCGAGGUAACUGAAUAUUAAUAAAAGUCCCCUUUCUUUAUAUUUUCACGGUAUACUCGUGUUACAACACGACACCGUAAUCAGGACCACAUUGAGUCACCCGACCAAUUCAUGUCCCAUAUUGGUUAAGAGGCCCAUAGUAAGACCUGCAUGUUCUCGUAAUUGGACCGCAUUGGGUUGUCCGACCAAGUCAGGUCUCAUAUUGCGUAAGAGGACCCAGAUUGGAUGUCUUGAAAUUGGAUCCAAUUGGCUCUUCGAACUAGGCUCACCCGUCGUUGAAUUGGUCCUUUCCCUUCCUGUCGACUCCCAUUAUUGGAAUCGAACGGAGUAUUUUAGUAUGCCCCGGCUGACUGUAACAGGGUGACUAAACCUAGCCUCUCAGUAUUUGUACUGGAAUUGGUCGUUGCUCCCAAUAUUCGAGGUAACUAAAUAUUAAUAAAAGUCUCCUUUCUUUAUAUUUUCACGGUAUACUCGUAUUACAAUACGACAGCAGAAGUUGUUUUUGAAUCUUUGAAGACAGCAUUUGUUUCUGCACCAAUCUUGUAUCAUGUUGAUUUUUCUAAAGCAUUCUUUAUGGAAACAGAUGCAUCGGACUUUGCUCUGGGUGCGGUUUUAUCACAAAUGGGAAUAGAUGACAAACUUCAUCCAGUAGCCUUUCAUUCAAGAAAAUUCUCUACAGCAGAAAUCAAUUAUGAGAUCCCCGACAAAGAACUUCUUGCAAUUAUGGAUUCUUUUCAAGAAUGGCAUCAUUAUCUAGAAGAUGCUUCCAGUUCAGUCACCGUAUAUACGGAUUACAAGAACCUCAAAUAUUUAUGUCAACAUGCAUAUUAAAUCGUCGCCAAGCUCGUUGGAGCAUGUCUUUAUCAAGAUUCGAGUUCAUCAUCACUUAUUGGCCAAGAAUACAACAAGGUUUGUCCGAUGCCUUGUCUAAACGUUCUUAUCUUGCACCAAAAGAAGGAGAUGCACUAUUUGAGCAACAAAGAACAGUUUUCUUGAAGCUGGAGCAAUUUCAUCUUCGAGCAAUAAAAUCAACAUUGACUAUUGAUUUAACUUUUCUUAAGCAAGUCCAGUUAAGUAUGUCUUCAGACCCUCUUGUUCAUAAUAUCAAGAAUAAUUUUUCUAAAUCUCAUGAUCCCUCUAAAUUUGAAUUCAAGAACAACCAACUCUAUUUCAAAAGACGCUUAUAUGUUCCAGAAGGAGAAGCACGUUUACGUGUUCUUCAAGCUCAUCAUGACUUCCCAGCAACAUGACAUUUUGGAUAUAAUAAGACUUUGGAGCUGAUAUCUAGGAAUUUUUGGUAGCCUCAAAUGUGGAAGGUAGUUAAAGACUUUGUACAAUCAUGUAAUGUUUGCUCAAGAUCGAAAACUCCUUGUCGUCGACCUUUUGGACUUCUUCAACCAUUACCCAUUCCUGAACAAUCAUGGUCUUCUGUUUCUAUGGACUUCAUCACAGAUCUUCUAAUCUCAAGUUUUUAUGACUCUAUAUUCGUGAUAGUAGAUCGUUUUACCAAGAUGGCACAUUUUGUACCAUGUACAAAAUCUAUCACAGGUGAAGAAAUAGCUAAACUCUUUCUUGACAAUAUCUAUCACUAUCAUGGAUUACCCAAGGAUAUUAUAUCAGAUAGGAAAACUCAAUUUGUAUCAAGAUUUUGGCGGACUCUUUUCAAGAUUCUUAAAGUAGAUAUAAAACUAUUUUUGGCAUUCCAUCCUCAAACUGAUGGACAAAUGGAGCAUGUUUAUCAAGUUUUGGAGUAAUAUUUAAGAUGUACCAUUAAUUACCAAUAAGAUGAUUGGACAACUCUUUUGCCAUUGGCAGAGUUUGCUUACAAUAACACGGUACAUUCUUCUACAAUACAAACACCUUUCUUUGCUAAUUAUGGUUAUCAUCCAUGACUUGAUACUUUUGACUUUUUAAAAGUUGAUAAUCUUACUGCGAAAGAUUUAGUAAUUCAUUUAUCACAGCUACAUACAACGAUGAAGGCGCAGUUAAAAGAGGCUCAAGAACAACAAAAGGUCAAUGCGGAUGUCUAUCAAAAGGAACAACCAUCAUUCGUCUUGGGUGAUAAGGUAUGGCUACUUCGUCACAAUAUCAAGACCACUCGUCCUUGUGAGAAGUUGGACUAUCGAAGAUUAGGACCAUUUUUUAUUUCAGCACAAAUCAAUCCAGUUGCAUAUCGUUUACAUCUACCAGAGUCAAUGAAAAUCCAUCUAGUAUUCCAUGUGUCUCUUCUUGAACCAUACAAGACAGUGGACAUACCGAGAAGACGACAAGCUCUACCUCCUCCUAUAGAAGUGGACAAUAAUGAAGAGUUUGAAAUAGAAGAAGUCUUAGAUUCAAGGCGACGCCGAAAUAAAUUAAAAUAUCUUGUCCAUUGGCACGGAUAUGGUAUUAGUGAACGCACAUGGGAACCAAUAAAGAAUCUUGUAAAUGCAGCGAAGGUGGUGGAGGCUUUUGAUCGACGACAUCCAUCAAAAUGAAGAUGAAAACCUUCUUUAUAAAAGAAACAACAUCUAGGCAUGAUAAUAUUCUACUUUCAAUUCUUGUUUGUAGCUUCUUUAUAGUAUUUACGCUGAGGAGAUGGAGAACCAACAACCAGCGGAUUCGACUCAAGAGCCUUCAUUUGCUAACCUGUCGGAUGAGGCAUUACGAUUGUCACAACCUUCAAGACGACACAAUCGAGAUGAAGAUCUUUAAGAAUGACAUGUUCUUCCUCGAAUAGAUGGCCCUAUCAAUCAUCUUCGAAGAGAACAAAGAUCAGAGUAUGUGGCGAAUACAAUUUGUCGCAUCAUAGAUUUCCUCAAAAUAUGAUGACCGCUCCUCGUGGAACUCGUCUCUAGAAGAGGGGGUAAUGUCACGGAUAUAAUCAUGUAAGCUAGUAAUUACAUAUACAAAUAGGUAGAAGUAAGUAAAAGUAGGUAAAAUUAAGUUACUUCUAUAGUAUUUAAUAUGAAAGCUUCCUAGAAGCUUCAUAGACACUGCUUUGACUUCAUAGGUGUCUUUAAUUGAUUUUUUGGAUUAGAAACAUAGUCAACAAGUAGGCUAUGUGCCACACAUGUUGUUAGCUUAAAGAUCAAGCUAACUAUGUGGCCCAUACGUAGAAAAACUUGCCUUCUAAGUCAAGGCAUGUGUUCUACAAAGUCAACACAUAUUGGAGGUCCUAUAGAAUGUCACCAGUAGCCCCUAGUUAGAUAGUAUAUAUAUAGACAAGAGUGAAGGCUUCUUCACUCUUGUCAACUCCUUUCUUGCUUCUAGUCUAGUUUCAAGGGUCUCUAGUUUUCUUAUCUUUUGACAAUAGCCAUUCCAGUUUCUCUUUCAAUAUAUAUCCUUGUUUAUAUAUAUUUUGUUACAUCUCUUUGAGUGAAGGCUCACUUGUCUGAAUUAUUUUUUUCAUCGAGUUCUUAUCCUUGAUACCACCUUUGCUUCAUAUAAAGAUAUUUAGACAUAAGAUUUAUCUCCAAACCAUCAUCAAUCAAAGCAAAAAUUGGCUCAUCCAUAUCUCCAAUCUUCACUAAUGCCUCUGUAUUUGUUCUAAUCCAAUACUUCCAAGUAUAAUGACUUGAAACCUUUUUAUCUUUAUUACUUUGAUCAUCAAAAUGUACUCUUUGAUUAUGAUUCCUUCUUUCACUUAUUGAUUUUUUGUAAGAACUAUCAAAUACAUCUUCUUCACCUUCAUAAAUGUGUGCAUCAAUAGCAUGAUUCAAUCCAACUCUCCCAUUAAUUACCUCUUUUGUUUAAUACUGUCAAUAAUGACAUUAUGGAAUUCAUUCUUAAUAGUUCUUAAAAUCUCUUUCAAUGUAAAUUCAAUCUUAGCAUUGAGUACAUGUUCUUCAAGCACUCCCUUUAAAUCUAUUACUACUUCAAUAUUAAAGAAUACUUUAUAAGUUAUCAAUUUACCUUUAUCUUUCAUCUCCUUUGUUUUUUCUUCCAAUAUUGUUGAAGUAUUCUUUUUGGACAAUUCUUAUGAAUCUGCUACACAAGCCUUAUCUCCUCAAGUUUGCUUCUUAGAAGAAUUUUCUUUUCUUAUAUCAUCAAAAUUUCUUCUCCUCUUUUUUCCUAUUAAAGCUUCGUGUUGGCGUUUAAUAAUAUAUGCAUGUAUUGACAAAGCUUCUACAAGAUCCUUCCAAUCCAUAGCACCACGAAUUUUUGCAGUAAUUCUCAAUAAAGCUUCCCAUGGCAUCUCCUCUUUUUGUAUUGUAGAAAUGGCAAAAGAUCAAAGUCCACUUGAUUGACUAUUUCCAACAAAAUUUUGUCUACCAUCAUUAUCUACCUUGAUUCUAUAAUUUGCAGUUUCUAUUGUUGUAAUUCCAUGUGUUGCUAAAUAAUCUUUAAAUAAUACUUUCACACCUCUUUUACCAAAUUUGGUUUGAAAAAGAUCACCAAUAUCCUUCAAUGUAAUUUUUCCAUCUUUUCAAUAAAUAAUGCUUUAUUGUACUAUUUCAUCAAAUUCACCACAAUCUUUUUAAGAAUGAGAAUUGUCAUCACAUCAAAUACAUCUUUAUACAUAUCCUUGUUUAAAAGUAGCCUUUAAACUUGUUGUAGAAGUCUUCUCCUCAAGUCUUGCAAGUUUGAUUUGAAGAUCCCACAUCCCAGAUAUAAUCUUUUCAAGUCUCAUAUCUUCUUUUUUUAGUGUAGCUAGUGGAGGUUGGACAAUAGGCACAAUCAAUUGUAUAGUAGGCAUCAGGGUCUUUGGUACUUGUUCCACUCUUUGAGCACCAAUCCUAUCCUUUCUCUUUUUUUUUUUUUUUUACAAGUAAUCUAAUAGUAUCUUCAACAGCCUUCCACUUUGUUGUCAAACCUUCAUCUUUUUUUUUGUGUACAAGAAGAACCUCUAACUUCCCUUGUAAUUUUCUAUUAGCAACUUGAAGAAACAAUUCAACCUUAUUUGAUUCCAAUUUUAACUUUUUUAUUUUUGAUAUUUGAAAAAAUUGUCUUUCAAAUUUUCUUAAUAAUUCUAUAGCUUGCAAAUUUUUCUUAAGUUUUUCAAUCCAUUUCAGCCACUGCUUAUAAUACUUUGGUUGCCGAAGCCUCUUUGUGAUCAUUGCCUUAUUGCUAUUACAUAAAUAAUAUAAAUGCUUGAAAUAAUUUUACAAUAUUUGGAUCAAAUUAUAUGCUUUGUUUACUAGUAGAAAAUCCACUUGAAGCCCCACUUUAAGAUCCACUUCUAGCUCCAUCCAAAGCUCUAUUGAAGACACCAAAUUCAACAUUUUUGUCUUCUUGCACCAUUAAUUCCAAAUAACCACAUAUAAAAUCCAAUACCUCUCAUUCCAAACUUUUACAUUGAAUUCACCACUUUUAUUGUAUUACGUGUUGUCUUAUUUGAGAAUACAUCAGGUACCUAGCUAUGGAAGGUGAGAUUGUGUUUUAUAAAUAUCUAAGAAAUCCUAAUAGUAUUCACCUCUAUGAGAAGAAUAUAAUCCGAAUUAUGCAUAAAUUUCAAAUUACCAAUACAAACUCUGACUUCCACUAAUAAUUAAAAAGUUCAAAAAAUUUCUAUCAAAACUAACCUUAUGUCUCUAGAAAAAUCUUCAAUCUAGCUCUCAAAUCCUAAUCUUCGAUCUUUGAAUGAAAUCCUAUUUUGCCCUAGGCAGUCAUUUUAGUAGCCAAAGGUCUGAUUUCGACCCUGUCUCACAAAUGGUCGAUCCAUGGAUAAUAAUCUAAUAUAUCCUAAGGAAUUUUUAGCCCAAUCCUAUCCUCAACUUAAUCCUAGUAUCAAUUAUAGUAAUUAUUUAUCACUUCUAACCUAAUUUUAUUAAUUUAUGGUCUUUCUAUAGUAAUAAAAGAGUCUUUAGCCUAGAAAAUAAAAGUAUUAUCCAAUCUUUAACCUACUAACUAUUAAGAUGAGAAAAUAACCUAAGAGGCUUUAUAAAAGAUAUAUUUAGAUACCUUGAAUUAUUAUUAAAUCAAGAUAAUUAGAUAUUAAUUAGAAAUUCAAUUUUGAUUAAAAUUUCACUAUAUAGUCAUAUUACAUCACAACAUUGGUCUUCUUUGAGUAUUAAUUCAUGGCUUUUUGAGGUAAUUUUUACUAAAAUCUAUACUCAAUUCUCUCUUAAAUAUGCUUAUAUUAUUUUAUUUUUUAAUAUAUUUUUUUUCUUUAUUUUUUUUUUAUAAUAUAAAUAGAGGUCUAUUUUAUAAAAAAUAAUAAUAGUACUUUUUAGUUGUACUAUCUUUUUGAUUAUAAUCUAUUUUUAAGAUAUUUUUAUAAUAUUUUAAAAUAAGAUCUUAUAUAAUAUAAUAUUUUUCAUUUUCUUUCAUUCAUUAGUUGUGUUAUAUUACAACAUCCAACUCCCUUGAAUUUGUACAUCCAUCAGCAUGAAUUAAGUUUUCUUCAUUACAUUGAUAUAGAAUGUUCUUUGUUUUGGUCAAAUUCUUGAUUUUCAAUUUACUCUUCUUCUUCUAUGUCAAUAUCUUAUAAUAAAUUUUUUUCUUCAUCAAAACAAAUGUGUUCACUUCUUUAUUUAAAUAAUUUAAUUCUCUUAUAUACUAUAAGUAUCUUUAAUUUUGUACUAUCAAGUUCUUGUAAAAAAUAUGUUCUAUUUUCAUAUAGUUCUUUGACAACAUAAGGUCCAAACCAUCUUCUUGUAAAUUAUUUUGUCGUAUUAUAUUGGUUGUCCAAACUACUUUCACAAAUUAACAUCCAAUCACCAUUUUUGAAUUAGUUUAGAUGCAAUUGAUGUUUUUUGUCAAAUCUUUCCUUAUUUUUUUUCUUUGUCUCUUUCAAAUUUCUUAUAGCUAUGUUAAUUUCCUUGGAUCUUCUUUCAAGUUGUCAAAUUUGUAAUCCUAAUAAUUCUUUUCUUGUUAAAUCAUCUUCUCAUAGUAAUACAUCUCAUGUUGAUAUAACCUCCUCUAUUGGCAUUAUCAAUUUUUGCCCAUAUAUCAAUUUUACUAGCAUGUAUCCUAUAAUCAUACUAUAAGUUGUACAAUCUAUCUUUAAUACAAAUAAUGAUAACUUAGUUCAAUUACCUAUCUUGUCUUUGCAUGCUUUAACCAAUGCUUUAAUAAUCAGAGAAUGUCCAUAAUUACUCUUUCCAUUUCUUUCCAUAUGUAAUUUUAAAUGUCACUUUAAUAUCUAUCCUCUCAAAGAACUCUUGUGCUUCAUUUGCAUCUAAUUUCCUUCUAUCCAUAGUGGUUUUUCUAACACAAUUAUACCGGCAAAUAAUUUCUUCUAAUAUAAAUCAAUAUACCUCUUUUGUAGUCUUUUUUUGAAAUGCUCUCUUCUCUACUUGAUUUGUCAAAUCUUCUUGAGCAAAUAUCAAAUAUUUCUUUUGUCCAAAUUCCAAUCGCAUUGCAACUAAAUCAACUACUCAUUUAUAAUAAAUUACUAAUGGAUAUAUUACAUGCAAUUCAUUUCAAUGACAAAUGUUUGAAUAUAUUUGAUAAGUCUUAUAAGAUCCUACAAAAUCCACCACAUCCUUAUACAUGCCUUUCUAUUAAUAUUUUUCUUUUACCUUUACAAAUUUUGUUCAAAUGCCUCAAAGUCUGGUCCACCAACUUUCAUGAAAUUCUUUUAUGAUAUCUUAUUGAGUGCCAUAGUCACAUACAACCCCUUAUGGUACUCCAUCUCUUUGCUUUGGAUGCUUCUAUAAAAAUCCAUCUUGAAAAAAAUAACUGUAGAUUUUUUUACAAAUUCUUUUAAAUUCAUAAUUUGUCUAAUCAUCUUGCCACUUUAAUAUACUUAAGUACUUUCCAAUGUGCAACCAUUCACCAUCAUAUAACUCCUCCAAAAAUACUUCAAGUAAUAUAGUCAAACACAACUUUUUUUUUUGCACAUGAAGUUGAAUAAAAGUUGGUGCCAACAUUUUCUUUAUCAUCAAUCAUAUCCUCUUCAUCAUUAUAUUGUGCUUGUAACAACAUAUCCACAUUCGUAUUAUUUUUUUUCAAAAUAUGCUUGAAUUUCGGAUUUAUAGACUUAAUGUAUCUUAUCUAUCUUAACAUUAUAAUAUUUGUUGUUAAACAACUAUCAAUUAUACCAAAUAGUCAUAGACAAUCUAAUAUAUCAAUCACAGUUGCACCAAUGAAGUAUUCUUUUUUAUUUUUAAUUAUAGUUACUAUGUCCUAUAAUUCUUUAUUGACUUGUGCAUAAGCUCUUUAAUAAGGAUUUAAAACCUUCAUUCUAAAUCUAAUUACAUUUCUCUCUUCAUCACCUUAUCCAAUUGCCUACCCAAUAUCUAUUAAACUAGCAUUAACUAUCAAUAUCAUCAAUCUCUUUGAAUCAUAAUUAUUUUUUUUUAAAAGUUAAUGGUGAAAGAAGAAGUUUCUUCAAUUUUUUCAUUUCCUUCCUUUAUUCAAUGUUCCAUUGAAAUUUAAAUUCCUUCUUUAAUAAAAAAUAUAAUGAUUCUACUAUAUGUGUAAAAUAUGAAAUCCAAAUAUAAUAAAAAAAUACAUGAUCCCAAAAACCUUUGAAUCUCUAAUGUAUUUGAACAUUCUUUCAUUCUUUGAAUUGCAUCUACUUUUAUUAUUGAUAGCUUCCUUCCAUACGAUCUACACAUAUGUCCUACUACUAAAAAACUUUUUACUCCAAAUAUUGAUUUUGUUUCUAAUAAGGUUAAAUAAACCCCUUCUAAUCUUAUCAAAAUCUUCUCACAAUCAUCAUUAUAAUCUGCCACAAACUUUUUACAUCUCUUUGAAUCCAAUGUUCUAUCCUUUUCUUCUUCUUCAUAUUUCUUAAUUGUCACAUCAUCUAAAAAAAGUAUUAUUUUUUCUAAAAUAAAAUCUCUUAAUACCUUAUGCAUUCCAUUUAUUCUAUGUACCAUUGGAUUUUUAGUCCUUUAUGGUAAUAUACACAUUCUAUCCAAUCUCAAUGGCAUCUUCAUAAUUGUCAAAUUUCUACUUUGCAUUGCCAAUUGAAAUUGAUCAUAUCUCAAAUAAAGAUUGUACAUAGAAUAAAUUACUUUUUUUCCAAAUGCCUUUACAAAUUCAUCUACUAUUGGACUAGAAUCCAUAUUCCUUAUAGUCAUCUUAUUUAUUAAUUGCAUGUCUUCAAUAAACCUCAAUAUUUUAUUUUUUUAGGUACCAUGAACCACACAUUAGAAUAUGGUGUAAUAGAUGGUUGUAAAAUUUCUAUCUAAAUCUUUUCAUUGAGUAAUUCAACAAGCUUAGGUAAAUAGGCCUUUAGAACUGAAAUUGGCUUUAAAUUCUAUGGUUCAUGGAGGAAUUGUGAAAAUAACCAUAGGUGCGACCAUACUUUGAUCUACAUAUCCUAUUUUAUUUGGUUCAAAUACAAAUGCCUCACUAUAUUAAAAAAACAUUUCUUUGAAACAUCUUUCUUCAUCUUCUAUCAAAAAGUCCUCACAUCCAACCUUCAAUCCAUCUAAUAUCAAAUUAUUUUUAAAUUCAUGCCUUAUUUUCCUUAGAUUUCUCAAAUUAAAUUGUAUAGAAGGACUUUCAACACUUUUUUUUAUAAUCCAAUGGUCGUGGCACUACCACUAGUUUAACCUUCUUGGCAAGAGUCUUAUAUUUAGUUUCUACCUUUAUAUCAUAUCUAUCAAUAUAUUCUUUCAUCUCAUUGUAAAAUUCUUUAAAUUGCACAUUUACUACCAUAUCAUCACCUUCAAAAUCCAAAUCCAAUAAUACUUGCAAUCCACCUAUGGUAUCAUUAAAGCCACUUUUUUCAAACAUCUCUAAUAUGCAUUCAUCUUCAUCAAGCACUCUACUUUUUUUCAACUCAUAUUCUAUAUUUUUGACAUUUUUCUUUUUUUAUCUUCCAAAAUUGUUUAUAUUUUUGAAUAAAAUAUAUCCAUUCCAAGAUAAUGCAAUAAUAGCCUCAUCUCUUCUAAUAAGCAAAAAGCCAUUAUUCCUUCUACCAUUGCAACUCCACUUUAUAAUAAUAUGUAGAAAAAAUCCCUUACAUGCUCAUCUCUAAAUUCCCUUAUAACCUUUGGUAAAGGUUGCUUUCUCAAACUCCCAUAGUUUUUGUUAUGAUUAGUACAUACCAUCAAAAAUUAUACUUUUUUUGUUCUAACUUGAUUCCUCAUUGGAGCAUAUGCUGAUCCAUUGUCCAUAAUCUUUAUUUCUAUAUAAGUAACUAUAAUAUAAGGUUGUCCUAAAAUGAUAGGAUAAGUAGACAUAUCUUAUACAAAGAAGUUUUGCUCAUCACUAAUAUCUCAUAUUAUAACCUUCACAUUUGGACAUAUUCUAUAUAAUUUUCUUUGUGAAUUAUUUACUGCUCAAAUCAUACAUCCAUGUUUGAUGUCAAUCGACCAUUUUUUUUUUAUAUAUAAUUCUUUUGACAUCAAAUUAAUCUCCAAAUCAUGAUCAAUUAAUACCACAAUAGAUUCUUCUAAAUUCUUCAACAUCACCAAUAUCUCCAAUGUUAUUCUUGUCCAAUAACUAUGAAAAUAAUGAUUAAAAGUUUAUAAUGAUUAGAAGUUUGGAUUUCUUUUUUUUCUUUUAUAAUUCUCAUACAUAAAGCAUCUCCAUAUGGAUGAUCAUUAUUCUCUUCAUCUAUCAUCACUCUUACUCUAUGAGCAUUUGAAGCCAUAUUCUCAUCCAAAAUUUGCCAUUUUUUCUUAAUAAUAUCCAUAAUAACCUCAUGAAAUUAUCUCUUUGCUAUUCCAAAAACUUCUUCCAAUGUAAAUUUCACCUUGCCAUUUAAAAUGCACUCUUCUUAAAUCUUCUUCAAAUCCAUUGUUGUUUCAAUAUCCAAUUGUAAUUUAUAAGAGCCUUUGCUUUUUCUUUCAUAAUUUUUCUUCCCUUUAUAGAAAUAUUUUUUAUUAUUUUUUUAUAUAUAGGAUUCUUUUGUUGUCAUGUUUUUUCUCUUUAUGUAGUUCUUUUUGAUGGUCCUUCAUUAUUUUCAUCUCUCCUUCAUUUUUUUUAUUAAUGCUUCAUAUUUACUCCUUAUAAUAUGAGCAUGUAUCAAUAAUUCAUCUAUUAGAUCAUUCCAUCUAGUAAUUUAUGAAACAUUAUUAUCAACACAUUUUAUAUCAUUUAUAGAUAGUUUUUUUUCAUCAUAGUUCAUUACAAUUGACCACAAAGAACUAGAUUUCUCUAAAAAUUCAAGAUUUAUGCUUAAACAUUUGCACAAAAUUGCUUCCAUUCAAUAUAUUCAUGCUUUCUUGCUUAAAUUUUUAAAUUUUUCCUUUGUAAAUACCUUCAUCCUUCUUUUAUUAAAGUUUGUCUCUAAUUUUUUUCCACUUUCUUUUAGAUGUAUCAUACUAUCUUUAAAAAAAACAACUCCAUUACAUAAUGCCUCUAUAAAAUCUUCAUAUUUCCUUCUCAAAUGAUCUAUGCUAUUACAUCACAUGCACCUAUGCACUACACCUUCUAUUCAUCUUAACCUUUGUUUUGUUGAUAUUCUUAAUGAUUGUUUUUUCUCUUCAAAUUUUAUAAAUUUUAUUUGUAAAUUUCUCAUCCUUUAUAUAAUUUCAUUGAUGUCCAUUUCUUCAAUCUUUGAUGUAGCCAUUGAAGGUUGAAUCAUAGAUGUAGGAUUGGUAGUAGAUAUUUUUACCUCAGAUACUUAUAAUGGUCUUUGAAUGUCCAUCCUAUUCUUUUUUUUUUUUCUUUUUGCCAAUAAUCCUACUCCAUCUUCUACUUUCUUUCAAUUUGUUGUGAAUCCUUCAUCUUCUUCUUUAUCUUUGAGUAAGAUUUCUAACUUCUCUUGCAAUCCUCCAUCAAUUACUUAAAAAAAAAACUCCACUUUGUUUGGAUCUAAUAAUUGCCUUUUUUUCUUUAAUAAAAAAAAUAUUACUUUUUAAAAUUUUUUACUAAUUUUUUUGCUAAAAUAUCCUUUCUAUGCCUUUUAAUCGAUUUGAAAAAUGAUUUUUUUGUAAUCCAAAUAAUAUCCUUUAAAAAAUACUCAUCUUUUAAUACUUGAGAUAAUUUCUUUCAUGAACGUCUAGAAUAUCUUAUAAUAGACUUCAAAUUUUUUCUUAUAUCUAAUAAUAGCUAAUUUAAAUAAUUGAACCAUCUUCUUUUAUAAAACAUGCUUCAAUUCUAUUUUUUUAAUAUAAUAUCUUAAAUACUUGGUAAUAUCAUUCCCUUAAAAGUGAUCAAUCUCAUCUACAACCACUUGUAAUGCUUUGUUUGCCAAACUUUCUUUAUGCUCUUUAGCUUGUUGAUGUUGCAUGAAUAAGACAAAAGCCUCAAACAUGCUUAUGGAAUUGAGAUCAAAAUACAUACCUUGACUUCUACUAGAACAUCUACUUAUAGCUCCAAUCAAAGUACCACCCAUAGCUCCUCCUUCAACUCUUUACUUUUAUUCACUAUAUUUUAAAUAAUCCAAGAAAUAUUCCAAGUAUCUUCUACCUCAAGCUUUUUACAUUGGAUUCACCAAACAUGUCGUAUUACGUGAAGUCUUUUUAAAAAAUGCAUCAGGUACUUGGCUAUGAAAGGUAAAAGAGCAAUUGUAACAACAAAAUCUUGAAAAAUUUAAUAGAAUCCAAAUCAAAUUCUAGAAAUAUUCUAAAUUCUAAAUCAAAUUAUCAACAAACUCUAAAUCUUAAACCAAAUCCAAAAAAAAUCCUAAACCUUAAAUCAAAUCCAAAACAAAUCCUAAAUCUUAAAUCAAAUCCUAAAUAAAUCCUAAAUCCUAAAUCAAAUCUUAAUCAAAAUCUAACCAAUUCAAAUCAAUCCUAAGAUAGAUUAGAAUCUCAAUAUCUAUUUAUUAAACUAUUAAUCUUAUUUAAAAUUUAUAAACCUUUUAACCUCUUAGUUAAAAAUAAAUAUAACCAAUUUAAAGAUAAUUACACUUACUAAGUAGAAGAAAAAUCCUAAAAUCCACUCUGGUAUUGAUUGACUUCUUACUCCAAUCUAAAUGUUGAACUUUCAAUGCCAAUAUCUUCUAUUUGAUUCAUUAAUUUUCUUCCAAAAAUUCACUUAAAUUAUUAAAAAUCAAGUCUAGUCUCAAUACAAAAAAAUUCACUUCAAUUUAAUCAACAAAUUAUUAAUGAUCUUAAAAAUACUCACUAAUUAUCAGGGACAUGAAUCUCAAAGAAAGAGAAUCCAUGAUACACUCUUAUGUCAUUGAAGAGAACUAGAAAGUCACUCAAAAGAUAAUGUAAUAUUAAUGAGAAUAGCUAUUGCCAAAAAUAAGAAGACUAAAAAGUCUUGAAAUAAGCCAAAAGACUAGAAUGGCAUUGAUAAGAGAGAAGAAGGCUUCAUUCUUACCUCCAUAUAUAUUCUUAACUAGGAGCUACGUGGCAAUGUCCUAUAGGACCUCUAAAAUAUGUUGACUUUGCUAGCCACAUUUUUUAACUUGCAAGGCAAAUUAUCUAUGUAUGCGUUAUAUGGUUAGCUUAUUCUACAAGCUAUUAUGUAGAGUUAACUUGUUCCAUGAGUUACCAAUACAAGAUUAACUUUUUGGCCAAGUUUCUAACCUACAAAUACAUCUAAAUUCAAAAUUGUGUCUAUGAAGCUUCUAGAAAGCUUUACUAAAAGACUUUAUAAAAUUAAUCUAUAUUUAUCUACUUUUACCUAAUCAUAUAAGUAAUGAUUGAAAUAAAUAUAUAUAUAUAUAUAUAUAUAUAUAUAUAUAUAUAUUCAUGACAUUACCCUCCCUUCUAAGAACAAGUUCUAUGAGGAGCAGUGUUGUGAUAUAACACGACUAAUAGGUAAAAGAGUGUGGAAAUUAUUAUAAUGUAGGAGAUCUUAGUUCAAAUUAUUACAGCAAAUUAUCUUAGAAAUAUAAUUAAUAGUCAAAAGGGUAGUAAAACUAAAAGGUGUCAAUUCUACCUUUUUAGAAAGGUGACUUCUAUUUACUUUCUAGGACCAUAAAUAAGGCAAAAAAAAUAGAUUGAAAAAACAAAUGAUAUAAGUAUCUUAAGAGGAAAGUUAAGAGUAAUUUCUAGUAAAAUUUACUUAGAAAAACUAGAUAUUGAUACCCGAAGAGUGCUAGUUAUGAAUUAAGAUCGAAAUCAGACAUUGAGGCACAAAACUAAGUCUUGUUGAUGAUUCUAAGGUUUUUUUGUAAAUCAAAGAGUAGGAUUUGAUAGCAAACUAGAAAGGAUUUUUAUAAACAUUGGUUUUGGAUGAUUUGGAUUUUUAAUGUCUUUGUAAGAGCUUGACAAAGUCAAGUUUGUUUUUGGAUGACUUGGAUUUUGUGAAAUAAAAUAGGGUUGACGUUUUGGGCAAUUUCAAGAGUUUUGUAAAAUAUAUAUAAGCAAAAUUUUGUAAGCUAAUGGUUAUAGUUGUGCUUAAUAUGAAUUAUAAAUUUUAGCUUGAUCUAACAAUUUAAUUGAAGGUUAUUGAAGUUUAAGUGGAUCAAGGUCUUAGAAAGUAGAAUUUUAGGUCUAGUGAGGGUUUUUAAGAUUUCUUGCAAUCUAUUACUUGGAUUGGAGUGAAAUUUAUGGAUGAAGAUAAUAGACUUGUUUUUCUAUGUAUAUAAAAAGUUUUAAAUCAAUUGAAUGGUGAAAAAGAGAGAUAUUGGCUCUGGAAAAUUGGCAUCAAGGUUAGAGAAAAAAGCCAGCCAAUAUCCGAGCACGUUUUUGAGGUUAUUGUCUAUUUGGUAAUUCCCAUCCUUUUCAAAUUUUUUGCUUGGUUUUAAUUUGGUUUUUAAGAAGUAUACAAAUUUUGAGUUAAGAUCAAGAUUCAUUUAUUAAUUCUUGAGGUUUAAAUCUAUUAUAGAAAUUACUAGUGUUUGAUUUAUGGUUUAGGAUUUGGUUAGGAUUUGAUUUAAGAUUUAGAAUUUGAUUAGGAUUUGAUUUAGGAUUAGGAUUUAGUUAGGAUUUGGUUUAGAAUUUAGGAUUAGUUUAAAGUUUAAGAUUUGGCUGGGAUUUGGUUUAGGAUUUAGGAUUUGAUUAGGAUUUGAUUUAAGGUUAGGAUUUGGUUAGGGUUUGAUUUAGGAUUAGGAUUUGGUUUAGGAUUUAAGAUUUGGUUAGGAUUUGAUUUAAGAUUAGAAUCUAAUUAAGAUUUAAUUUAGGAAUUAGGAUUUGAUUUAGAAUUUGAUUUAGGAUUUAAAGUUUGAUUAGGAUUUGAUUUAAAAUUAGGAUUUGGUUACGAGUUGAUUUAGAGUUUUGAAUUUGAUCAAGGUUUGAUUUAGGAUUUAAGGUUUUAUUUGAGUUUAUUUAUGAUUUAAGAUUUAGUUAGUUUUUGGCCUAAAUUUAGAAUGAUGUCUAAUAUGAUUUCAACUAGGAUUAAAUUAAGAUUGAAUUGAGAUGUAUUUGAAAUAUAUUUGUAAUCAUUCUAAUAUUUCUUUAUGAUUUCUUACUAUUUCUUUGUAAUUCUUUUGAGGUUUCUUUGAAUUUGAUUAAAGCUUGUUUAAUAUUAUUAGUCUUUUAUUAGAAUUAGGAUUUUAUUGUAGAAAUUUCUAUUCUACCUUCUACAACCAGGUGUCCAAAGCAUUCUUAAGCAAGACUUCACGUAUUACGACAGCAAUUGUCAUAUAUUGAAGAAGUCUAAGAUGUGACAAAUUAUAUUUCUUACAUACUCUGAUCUUUAUUCUCUUCAAAGAUGGUUGAUAAGCCCUCUCAAUCAUGGAUAGUGUCCCAUACUAAGGUAAGAAAACCACCAUAUUAUUUGAUCAUUGUUGAAGCCUUUGUAACUUCCUUCAAAUAAAACAUUUAGAACAUCGUCAGGAAUUGUUUCUACCUUAAACAAAAUUAUCAAACAACAGUAGUCUCUUUCAAGGUUGUGAUAUCAAAUACGUUGAAUCUUGCCAUUUGUUCAAGAAACGACAUGUUGUUCUUGAAGAUCUUUAUCUUGAUUUCAUCAUCUUGAAAGUUGUGACAAUCGCAAAGUCUCAUCAGGUAAAUUUGCAAAUAAAAGCUCUUGAGUUGAAUCUGUUGGUUGUUGGUUCUCCAUCUCCUUAGCAUCAUAAAUACACACAAGCUACAAAAAAAGAUAGAAGAUAGAAUUUUAUAUUUUUUUGAUCUUGUUUCUUUUAUAACAAAGAUUUGAUAUUCUUCAUCUUCAUUUUGAUAGAUUUUGUUGAUGAAAAGCUUCAAUUUUCUUUGCUGCAUUUGCAAGAUUCUUUGAUGGCUCUCAUGUGUAUUCACUAAUAUCAUAUUCGUACCAAUGAAUAAGAUAUUCCAACCUAUUUUGGCACUACCUUGAGUGUAAGACUUCUUCCACCUCAAACUCUUGAUUAUUGUCUACUUCUAUAAGAAGAGGUAGCAUUUGUCUUCUUCCCAAAAUAUUUACUAUCUUAUACAACUUAAGAAAGGAUACACAAAAUACAGAGUGGAUCUUCAUAGACUUCAGUAGAUAUAAUCAAUAAGCAAUAGGAUUGAUUUGUUCACAAUUAAAAAAAGGUCCCAACCUAUAAUAGUCCAACUUAAUAUAAGAACGAGUAGUCUUGAUGUUGCGAUGAAUACCUUGUCACCUAUGUAAAAGUAACCAUACAUUAUCACCUAUGUUGAAUUGUGGUUACUCUUUGCAAUAGGCAUCCAAGUUGAUCUUUUAUCGUCCUUAAGCUUUUUUUAAUUGUAUCUUCAUUAUUGCAUGUAGCUCUGACAAAUGAUUUGCUAAAUCUUCUACUAUAGGAUUGUCUACUUUUAAAAAGUCAAAAGUAUCAAGUUGUCGAUAAUAACCAUAAUUAACAAAGAAAGGUGUUUGUUGAAUAGAAGAAUGUAUUGAAUUAUUGUAUGCAAAUUCUACCAAUAUUAAAAGAGUUGUCUAAUCAUCUUGAUAAUAAUUGAUGGUACACAUCAAAUAUUAUUCUAAAAUUUGAUUCACUCAUUCUAUUUAUCUAUCAGUUUGAGGAUGAAAAGUUGAACAAAGCAUUAUAUCCACCUUUACAAUCUUGAAUAAGGUUCUCCAAAAUUUUGAUAUAAAUUGAGUCCCCCUAUCCAAUAUAAUAUCCUUUGGCAAUCCAUGAUAGUAAUCAUUAUUGUCAAUAAAAAGCUUAGUUAUUUCUUUACCUGAAAUAUAUUUUGUACAUAGUACAAAAUAUGUCAUUUUGGUGAAGCAAUCUAUAAUUAUAAAUAUAAAGUCAUAUGAACCUGAGACUGGAAGAUUUGGAAUAAAAUCCAUAGAAAUGAAAGACCAUAGUUGCUCUAGAAUUAGUAAUGAUUGAAAAAGUCUAUAAGAUCGAUAGCAAGGAGUUUUGAAUCUUGAACAAAUAUCAUAUGAUUGUACAAAGUCUUUGACUGCCUUCCACAUUUGAAGCCAGCAAAAUUCUCUUGAUAUUAGCUCCAAAGUCUUGUUGUAUCCAAAAUGUUCAGCUACUAAAAAAUCAUGAUGAGCUUGAAGGACAUGUAAUCAUGUCUUGUAUUCUGGAAUAUAUAGAAAAUCUUUGAAAUAUAGUAGGUUGUUCUUGAACUCAAACUUUGAAGUGUCCUUGGACUUAGAAGAAGUAUUCUUAAUAUCAUGAAGAAGAAGAUCAGAGGACAUACUUGAUUGAAUUUGCUUGACAAAGGCUGAAUCAAUAGUCAAUGUUGAUUUUAUUGCUCAAAGAUAAAAAUGCUCGGGAUUCAAGAGGACAUUCUUUGGUGAUCAAAAUAUUCAUCUCUUUCUUUUGGUAAAAGAUAAGAAUAUUUUUAGAGUAGAGAGAGUUUGCCUCAAGAAAGCGAUGGGCUUCUAGUUGCCACUAAAUACUCAAUUAAGUUUAAGAUAUAAAAAUACCAAGUUUAUACAUAUAAUAUUUUCCUUUUUUGGAUAAUUACAUCAAAACAUAAGCCCAAGUACCAAGAAAACACCCAAAUGUAUGAUAAAAUAUCUUAAAAUCUUAUAUAUCCUUAUAAAAAAUAUUUUUCAAACUUCAAAAAUUCAUAUCUCACAAUCAGACUGUCUAAAAAAUCCUAAAUUUUACAUGAAGUACUUCUAUGCUUUCAAAAACUACCACAAAAGAAUUCAAUUGCAAGUUCAUUGCGGAUCUUGAGAUAUUGUCAAAAUCCUAACAGUAGCUUUAAACCCUAGCUUACAUACACUCAUGUACUAAUUUCUUCAUUUCUCACAAUAUAAGUACUCAAAUACCAUGAAUUUUCGAUCUAUAGCUUUUUACUUAAUAAUUCACACUUAUAGAAAUUUUGAGCCAAAUGUUCAUCCAGAAACUCAAGAUAUGGCUCCAACCAUUACUAUCAAUAAAAUGACUCAUUUACUGCCUUUGAAUUACAUGUGGUCUUCAAUGCCCUAUAACUCCUUCAUCCAGACUUGGAAUUCAUCAAACAUUAUAUAUAAAAUGUAGCCAAAAAAGUAUUUUGUCAAUUCCAGUCGCAUAUUUUUCAUUGCUCUCUGUACACAUAUCUUAUGCUUCAAAAAGUGACAAAAGGUACAAAUUUGACACCUUAACUUUGAACACCUAUAUCUCCUUCAAAAAAACUCGAAAUCACACAAAUUCUUUACCCAAAUUAUAUCCAAAACCCUGAACUUUCUGAUCUUAGCCUCUAAAGCUCAAAUGACUUCGAAAGAAAAAUCCUAAAUCCGAAUAAGGCCUCGGGCAGCCUCCUUGAAGCCCAUUGGGCAUGGCCUUCGACCAAUAGGAAUAAAGAUCUCUAUUCUUUGCCUUCAUCCAACCAUGCCUUCCUUUCAUCCCUUCCAAUAAGCUUCCUACUAAUUAAGAUUUUCUUCUUUAGGCUCUAAUCUCCUCUCAAGGCUUUAUACUAAACAUUUAAAUCUUAUGAUUUUUUUUAAAUACUAUAAUCAAAAAAGAUAAAACUCAAAAUAAAUUUUCUUAAAUCCACUCUCUUUAAAUUAAUCUAUUAACCAUUCUAAUAUAUAUCUAGACUUAUUAACAUAUAAUAUAUUUUAACUAAUUUUUAUAUACUAUAAGCUUUUACAAUAUAACAUCGUGAUUCUUAUUGUAAAGAUAAAAGUUUGAUCUUUGCUACUCAUUCUUGAUUACUUUCUCUAAAUGUAGUCGUAAACACUUUUAAGAAUGAAUACAAAUUAUAAAAGAAUUACGAAUCUUUUUCCAUUAAAAGUACAAACCAAUGAAGAGCACUUCCUGAUAGAAGUGUGCCUAUGAAUCCAACUUGGGUAAAUCCAUCAAGAUAUUGAAAAACAUAUAAUCUUAGAUAGAGCUUGACUUGUUGCAAAAAUCUUCAAAAAUUUUAUCUUAUUCUAUCAAACUUCUUAGGCAUACUAAUCCUUGCCUCCAUCAUACUUGUAGAAGCAAAACUCCCUAGAUUUGGUUGGGAGGUCAAUCUACUUGCUUCUUUUAAUUGCACAACUUCUUGCUGCAGAGUUUGAACUUCUUCUAUUUGUGUAGGCAUAGUACUUCUAUGACUCAUAUUAGAAACACGUGAGAUUUUUACUCUAAGAAUGUUAACAAGCUCAUGAAGAUUUGCAAUAAUUGUAAAUCUAAUCUCACUUCUGCUAGGUGUAGCAUCCAUAAUCUUUCUUUCUAUAGACAACUCAAAUAAAUCCAAAAAAAUAAAAUAGAGGGAGGUAAUUCACAACCUCUAAUAAAAAUUUUCACAAAGAGGGAUAAUUCAUACUUUUUAAGGAAAGAUCAAUGUUAGAGAACAAGAUUUUUUUGUUUAGAAGGUGGGUAGUCUGUAACAUUUAAAAUACAACAAUAGAAGUAGAAUAAUCCACUCACUUCUAAAACAAGAUAAAAAUAAUAUAUUAGCACUCUUAUCAAACUAUUAGGGACAUAAAUCUCAAAUAAAGAGAAUUCUUGAUACACUCUUAUAUCAUUGAAGAGAACUAAAAAGUCACUCAAAAGGUAAUAUAAUAUUAAUUAGAAUAGCUAUUGCCAAAAAAAAAAGACUAGAAAGUCUUAAAAUAAGACCUAGGACUAGAAUGGCAUUGACAAGAGUGAAGAAGGCUUCACUCUUACCUCCAUAUAUACUCUUAACUAAGAGCUACGUGGCAAUAUUUUAUAGGAUCUCUAAAACAUGUUGACUUUACUAGCCACAUGUCUUAACUUAUAAGGCAAGUUAUCUAUAUAUGCACCACAUGGUUAGCUUAUUCUAUAAGCUAUUAUGUGGAGUUAACUUAUUCCACAUGCUACCAAUAUAAGAUUAACUUGUUGGCUAAGUUUUUGAUCUAUAAAUACAUCUGAAGUCAAAAUUUCAUCUAUGAAGCUUUUAGAAAGCUUCAUUAAAAGAAUUUAUGAAAUUAAUCUAUAUUUAUCUACUUCUAUCUAAUCAUAUAAGUAAUUAUUGAAGUAAAUAUAUAUGUCUGUGACACUAACCCUCAAACUCUAAAUUUUGAGACUUCAACCUAUAUAGACUUUUACACACUUCAAUAUAACUAUUCUAUUAAUUUUAAAUUUAUAAUAUAUAUAAAGCACAACUAUACUCACCAACUUACAAAAUGACAUUUGUAGAUCUACUAUAAAACUUCUAAAUUUUUUUAAAAUAUCAAUCCUAUUUUAUUUUACAAAAAUCCAAGUCAUCCAAAACAACCUUGAUUUUGUAAAGCUCUUACAAAGUCAUUAAAAAUCUAAAUCCUCCAAAACCAAUGUUCAUAGAAAUCUUAUUAAGUCUGCUCUCAAAUCCCACUUUUUAAUUUGCCAAAGAAUCCCAAAGUCACCAUAGGUGCAUGAUUUUGUACCUUGGAGUGUGAUUUCAAUCCAAGUUGACAACCAAUCUUCUCCAAAUAUUAAUUCCUAGCUUCUUAAGGUAAUUUUUACUAAAAUCUAUUUUUAACUCGUUUUUAUAUAAAUUUAUAUCAUUUUAUUUUCUAAUCUACUUUAAUUUGUCUUAUUUAUGUUCCUACAAAGUAAAUAGAAGCCUAUUUCAUAAAAAGAUACCAAUAAUAUCUUUUAAUUAUACUAUCUUUUGACUAUUAUCUUUUUUUAAAAUAUUUUCUAUAAUAUUUUAAAAUAAGAUCUUUAAUAAUAUAAUAUUUUUCUUUCUAUUUCAUUCAUUAGCCAUAUUACAUCACAAUAAUGUACUACCAAGUUCUUAAAGAUUGUACAAUUUGAAGUUUAUGGAUCAAUGAAGACACCAUGAAUUGGAAGAGGAAGCUACAUUAUCAUAUUUCUUGAUGAUUUUUAAAAAAUAAUAUGUAGAUUUAUAUUUUUAGAGCCAAGAGUGAGUAUUUUUAAGGAUUUAAGAAGUUUAAGGCACUUUUAAAAAAGCAAUGUGAAUGUAAGAUCAAAAUAUUGUAUACAAAAAACAGAUGUGAGUUUAUAUUAAAGCAUUUUGAUGACUUUUUAAAAAUUCAAUGGAUUGCAAGAUAAACCUCUACUCCUUACACUUCACAAUAAAAUGAAGUUACUGAAAAAAUAAAUCACACAAUUGUGAAAAUGGUAAGGAAUAUGCUUCAAGCACAAAAUCUUGGCCAUAAAUAUUAGGUAAAAGUCGUGGUUAUAGCAGUGUAUAUAAAGAAUAGGUGCCUUAUAAGUACACUCACAUCAAUGAUUCCACAAGAAGCUUUGAGUGGCAAGAAAUCUAAUCUUUUAUACAUAAGGAUUUUUGGAUGCAUUACUUAUGCAAAAGUAUCAGAUUUUAUGAGGUCCAAACUUCAUUCAAAAGAUAUAAAAUAUAUAUUUGUUAGAUAUUGUGAAUGUACUAAGGCAUAUAGGCUUAUGUAUUUAAAAAUCAAGAAGAUCAUCAAGAAUUAUAAUGUAAAGUUUUUGGAACAUAAAAAUGCUUGUGAGCUUUUGAAGAUGUGUCCAAAUAGAAGUAAUGGUAUAUUUGUGGACACAUCUUUAAUUUGAGCAAAAAAAGAAGAAGAUAAUUAUAAUAAUAAAGAUGGUAAAGAUAAGUGAAAAUAAAGAGCCAAAGAAGAUAGAUCAAAAUAUGUUUAUAAUUGCUAGAAUGAGCAAUGAAGACAAUGAAGAUAUUGAAGAUAAUAUUGAUGAGGAGUAUCAACUAUUAAUUGUAAAAAGAUAAGAUUUAUGAAAGUAGAAGGUUGCAAGAGACUUGGAAGUGCAAAAAAGUGAAUCUUCAUUAAGUGAACAAAGAUAUCUUUUGAGAGAUACAAAAUAACUUAGUGAUUGAUAGAUGAAUCACAUCUUUUCUUAAAUAAAUGAAGAACAUGUCAAUAUUGUACUCCUUAUUGAUCUAUUAAAUUUUUAUGAUAUAAUGAAGUCUACGGAUGCUUUGAAGUAGAAGAAUGCCAUAGAAAAAGAGUACAAAUCACUUAUGGACAAGAGAACAUGGAAGAUGACUCAACUUCCAUUAAAUUGACCUUCAAUUGAUUGUAAGUAGGUGUUUAGGAUUAAGAAAGAUGCAAUGAAUAAUAUUAUAAGAUGUAUGGCUAGAUUAGUUACCAAAGGCUAUUCACAAGUUGCUGGUGUUGAUUUCAAUGAAAUAAUUGCUUCAGUGGCCGAAUUCAACAGUAUUAAAACUAUUGUGGCAAUUUAGGCAAUAAUGGACUUGAAGAUGCAUCAAAUAGAUGUGAAAACGGCUUUUUUAAAUGAAAUAUUAGAAAAGAACAUCUAUACGAAUCAACCUCAAGGAUUUAUUGAAAAAGGCAAACAAUGCCUUAUUUGUAAGUUGAAGAAAUCUUUAUUUGGGCUCAAGCAAAUAUCAAGGGCAUGGUAUCAAUAUAUUGACACAUUCUUCUUGAAUGAAGGAUUUGAAAGAAGUAAGGCUCAUCAUUCUAUGUAUGUGAUGCAAUCAAGUGAAUUCAUAUUAAUUACCAUCAUUUAUAUUGAUGAUUUGAUCAUCUUAACUAAUACAUUAAAGAUGAUGGAUUAAUUGAAGGUAAAGUUAGAAAAGAAGUAUGAGAUGAGUGAUUUGUGAUAGCUUUACUAUUAUUUAGGAAUGGAGUUUGUGAGAAAUCAUGCUAAGAAGACCAUUACAAUGAGCCAAAACAAGUGUAUUGAAGAAGUGUUGAAACGAUUCAAUAUAGAAGAGUGUAAGCCUAUAGAUACACCUUUAGAGGCUAAUUUGAAGUUGGUGAAGCUCUCAAAUGAAGAUUUUGUUGAAGUUGAAAGUCAAAUACAAGAUAUUCCAUACAAGACAUCAAUAAACUCACUUAUUUAAGCAAUGGUUGGCUUAAAGGUAGAUCUCACAUAUAUGAUGAGUGUUAUGAACCAACGCAUAUUAAAAGCUGGACCAAUCCAUUAAGCAACCAUCAAAAGAAUCAUGAGGUCCUUAAAAGGUACUUUGCAUUUCAAAUUAUUCUUUAGAGGUGAUAACAUUACUUUCUAUGGUUAUUGUAAUGUGGAUUGGACUGGAGAUGUAAAUAAUAGAAGAUCAAGAAUAGAAUAUGUAUUCUUUGUUGGAAUAGAAGUUAUCUCAUGGAAUUGUAAGAAACAACCUACAAUUACAAGAUCAACAAUAGAAGCCAAGUACAUUGCAACAAGUUAUGGUGCAAUGGAGGCAAUAUGGCUAUGACAACUUUUAGAAGACAUUGAAAUAAUACAUAUGGAAGCAACUUCAAUGGAAUGUGACAAUCAAGGAUGUCUUGUAUUUGCAAAGAAUCCAAAGUAUUAUUCAAGGACCAAGCAUAUUGACAUUCAACACAACUGCAUAAAAGAGAAGAUUGAAAUAGAAGUAAUUGAUAUGAAGUAUUGUACAAUGGAAGACAUCCUUGUUGAUUUUUUGAUAAAAAUAUUAGUAAAGGAUAGGCAUUGCAUGUUGACAAAAGCAUUAGGAUUGAAAGCCUUAAACUAAUAGUAAAUUUAAAGUUUUAAAAUAAAUAAAUAAAUAUAAAAAUAAAAUGAUUUAUACAAUAAAAGAUAUUACUUUAAAUAAUUUAUUAUUGAUUAAAGGAUUGGCUCUGGAUAUAUAAAAAAGCUAAAAAAUAAAGUAGGUGAAUAGACAAAAGAUCUUAAGGAUAUAAAAAAUAUGCUAAAGACAUAUUCUCAUAGUAGAUAAGAUAGUAAUGAAUAAUCUCGAUAAAAUAUUAGAUAGACGUAUUCAUCAAAGGAUAGAAGUUGUCUAUUAAGAUAGUAGCCACCUCCUAUAAGUAAUAGAUAUUGGAAGUGAGAGAUGUUUUACUCCAUACUUUCUUUGCAAGCAACUUUUUUGAUGCUAUAUGUUGGUAUAUUCAAAGUUUUUUUUCUUCAAUAUUUCUAUUUAGUAAAAAAUAAUAAAUAAAUAAAUAAAAUUAAAAUUUUAUUUUUAAAAAAAUAAUUUUUUAUCUUUCCAAGAGAAUAAAAAAUAUAUAAAACCGAAUUACUAUGAAUAAGUUAUAAAGGUUUUUAAAUAAUUAAUUAAUUAAUUAAUUAAAAUAUUUUAUCUCAAGUAUAACUUACUUAUUGAUCAAGGAUUCGAGUCUCAUCAAGGCUCACAUGUAGUGUAUAUGGGUAUCUAAGAGAGAUUACGAGGCCUUAGUCUUAUCCUCCUAACUACCUUCAAGGUACUACAAUCUAUAUGGAAUUUGUAUACUUCAUUUCCUACAAAGACUACACUAGCCAUUGAUCCUCCUACUUUUUAUUAGUAGAUCCAAUAUUUUUGCAUCUUUGCCUUCACCGUGGUAUUCAAAAAUACCUAAUGAGCCUAAGAAUCUUGUAUGGCCUUCAAAUCUUGCUCCAUUUCUUCAUAAUGGCUCUCAAAGUAAUAAAAUUCAUUUUUAUCAAAGUCUUAAAAAUUACUCUAAAUUUUCUAAAUAAAUUCUAAAUAAAUUCUAAACAUUCUUAUAAUGGUUUUAUAAUAUUAAUAUUGAUUUAAUUCUAUAAUUUUUUAUCUUGAUAAUUUUUUAUAGUAAUAAAAUUAAUUUAAAUUUACUAUUAAUCUUAAUAUAAAUAACUAAAAUAACAUGAGGUUUUUUUGCAUACUUCUUUUAAUUAUUAAUAUUUAUAAUUUUUAAUAAAUAAUAAAUAUAGAUAGAAGAUCAAUAUAAAUAUUGAUCUUAAUAAAUAAUCUUUAAAUUCUCAAUAAUAAAUAAAAAUACUAAAUCAACUAAGAUAAUUACCUCCAAGAUUUAUUAAGAUUCUAUUUUUACAACUAACAUUUUAAUUUUCUAUUUAUCUAAAAGACUUCUACACUAUUCACCAUAUAUUGUGAUUUUAAGCAUUCUAAAUGUAUCUUUUUGUCUUAAAACAACUAGUGAAUUGAUUUAAUGACUCAUUUGAUAUAAGCUAAUUAUAUGAUGCAUUUAUAAAAAACUUGUCUUAUAAGUUAAUACACAAGUCUCGUAAGUUGGACACAUGUUGGAGGUCCUAUAGAAUGUCACUAUGUAGCUCUUAGUUAAAUAAUAUAUAUGGAAGUGAGAGUGAAGCCUUCUUCAUUCUUGUCAACGUGUUUUUUAGAAUUGUUUUAAGUCUUUUUAAUCUUCUUCUUUUUGGCAAUAACCAUUCUAAUUUCAAUACUAUAUUAGUUUUGAGUGAAUUUCUACUUUUUUUGAGUGAUACAAGAAUAUAUUGAAUUUUUAUUUGUUUGAGUUUCAUUCCUUAAUACAAUUUCAAAGUGAAGAAGUUAUUUUUUUAUUUCCAAAAUAAAACAAAAGAUAUCCUAAAUAUUGUGAUUGCAAAUUUGAAGAACUUCAAUACUAUAAUCCAUUGAUAUUAAUGUAUGAAGAUUCAAAAGGCCAAAUUCUUGCAUUAUUUCUUAUCAAUUCAACAAGACUAUAUAUAUAAAUGUUUUGCAUUCACAUAAAUAAAUUAUCCUUUUUUAGCUAAUGUUUCUUAGCUAAUGAAAGGAAAUUAUAUGCUUUUAAAAUACCUUAGAUAACAAACUCUCCAUCUAUUCUUGCGAUGUUUAUUCAAGAAGCAACCAAAGACAAUUUUAAGGUAGAGCAAAUCAAUGCAUUUUGGUACAAGUAAGGUCCUUUCAACUUGUCUUUUGUCCUCUAGUUAGCCUUCACUUAUAGAUUACUAUACCAAAUGAAGUCCAAAUGGUACAAAUUUGUUGUAUUGUUGGAUAUAGUAGCAAUAAAUGUGAUGCAUACAAUUUUUUAUUUAUUGUUGUAAGUUGAUUGUGGUACCUAAGCUUUAUAUUUGCAAUAUAUUGUAGAUUCACAAAAUAUUUUAGACUAUUAGUAUUUAUUAGAGAAGAAGUCAAGAAAGUUAGAGAUACAAAUGAAUAAAAGUGACAUAAUAAUUGUGUAUUAAAGUAUACUAAAAAUAACAUAAAUUUGAUAUAAAAAAAUGCUAUUAAAGAUGAAUUCUACUUAAGUACAAAAUUAAGGCUCAACACACUAAUCAUGAUAGCAUAAUUGACAUUCUCAAAGAUUCUUUAGAAGAAGCAAAAGCAUUGAAUUCUAGCUAUAAGCCAAGCUUAGACUUCAAACAAAUGUUAUGAAUACCUAGAGGAAAUAAAAUUUGCAUAAAUCAUAGUUUUUCAAAAUAUUAAGUGAAGAUUUAAUAAGUACAUCUAUCCUAUUAACAAUGCAAUUUAUCAAAUACAUUUUGUAAGAUAUAGAAUGCAAAGUUGAUUUGAAGUAGAAUUGGGUUUAAUAUAAGAUUAGCAAUAACAUGAAGAAAUUCUUUAUCAGUUCUUUUUACAAUCCUAAAAUUAUAAAAAUCUAUUUUUAAAUUUUUUAUCACAAGUACAAAUAAUCUAAUUUGGAUAUGCCUUCAAUACAUAAUCCAAAUAAUUUCUAUCUUUAUUUGAUCUAUAUUAAUUGUAUCCAUUUAAAAAAACCAAAUUCAACUAUAUACAACAAAUAUAAAUGUCAUCUUUUAUAGAAUUAAAGAACAACUAAACUAUCUCUUUGAAUCACUAAUGUCAUGCAAAUUAAUCAUAUAUUACAUUUAUUCAUAAAUUUUGACUUAAUUAUAAAGUAAUGUAAUAUUUUGUAAUAAAAUUAAAAUCUAUAUACUUGAAAUAAAUAUAAUCAAUAUAUGUAAAGGUUAUUUAUAAAUUAAUUAAAAAAGAUUUAUAUAUAUAUAUAUAUAAUGUUUAAAAAUAAUAUUCAUAUUAUACAAUUAUUUUUGACAUUGUAGGAUAAUGUCAAAAUUAAUUAUUACUAAAAAAAGUAGAAAUAAGUAUUAAAUAUACACAUAUAUAUAUAUAUAUAUAUAUAGCAAUCAACAAAGUAGAUAAAAUAUCUUUGUAAGAAAUCUGAAAUUUUUGUCUAUUUAGUUUAGAUAUGAAGGUGUCUUUUGAUGUAAGUAUAAAAACUUGCUUUUGAAGUAAUGUUUAUGUAUGAUUACUGGUCAAAAAGAUUUAAGCUUUUGCUAUUAAAAAAUUAUAGUCCAAUUGUUAUAUACUGAUAAGUUAUAAAUGAUUUUAUAUUAUUUUACGAAUUGAAUUAUAAUGUUUUUAUUUUUAUGUAAAAGUUUGCAUGAUAUUAAAAAUUCAUAUCACUGCUAUUUCCAUCUAAUUUAACUGCAAAUUUUAUUUGUUAUUUUUUUUAAUGAUAGAUUUUGUGUCACUCUUUAAUUUCGUCAGAAGAAUCGUUCAAACGGUAUCUCAUGACAUAUUAAAGACGUCGCGCAGCACUGAAACAAUUUCAUGAUACAAUCAUCCUUAUGAAGCUUGCCUAUUGAUGUAAGUGGGAAACUCCCAAGAUCAAUCUUCACAUCAGACAAACACUUGAAACUAAAAGAAACGAGGCGAUGAGUUUGUGCUUUAUUUACAUAUAAUACGUUCUGAACAAAUGUAUCAUUUUAAUCUGGAAAUCAUGAGAAUCAACAGCCUACUUCCUGUAACUCUCCAAUACAAAAUAUGUAAGCUGAAGUCUUCAUUUGACAAAAUAAAAUGCCAACUCACAGCCCCAUGCUCUCAGGUGAACCACGAUGUGAAUUUUUUCACAAAACUCAAGCGAUUUCGAUCUGUCGCACUCGUGGCUUUGGCUUCUCAAGCUUUGGUACUGUCACCGUCAGCACUCCAUCCUGCACCUGCGCAUUCACCAUCUCCGUAUUUGCAUGCUCCGGGAGCCGGAAACGCCGCAAGAAACUGCCGCUACUGCGUUCUACACGAUGCCAGGUAUCGCCCUUCUGCACCUCCUCCUUCUUCUUCUCUCCACUGAUCUCCAAUACCUUCCCAUCCAAAACCUGCACGUGCACCUCCUCUUUCCUCAGCCCAGGCAAAUCGGCCUUGAAGAUAUGCGCCUCUGGGGUCUCACACCAAUCAAUCUGAGUGCUGGCCAUACUGUGUGCAUCUCGCGCAAACUGCAAAGACGGUGCAGAUCCCAGCAGAGACUGAAAAGGAUCCCACGCGCUGCCGAAAUCGAAAGGAUCAAAAAUGCUGUUGCCACGACCACCGAGCAACGAAAGCGCCAUGUCCACUUCUAUUCCGCAAGAACACGGACCACACUACAGUGAGCGACAACUGCUAAUUCAAUACCACCACUGUACCUCUCCAACACAGAUAAGAGCUCUAUCGAUGCAGUCGAAAUUCACGAAGAGUGAGCACAAUUAAUGCGUUCGCUCUUUCAACUCGGGACGAACAAGAAUGACAAGAAUGCAGUUGAUACAGCGGGGCUGGAGCAUGCAUUAGUUAUAUAGGCAAGACAGCCACGAAGGAGAAAGCGAUCGAAGUGAGUAGAUCGACUCUCUGGAUGAUUCUAGAGCAAACCUGCGAGACUGUUCUAGACAGAGAACCCCCUUUCCAGAGAGAGAACUCCCGUUCCAGACAGAGAACCUCUGUUCCAGAGACUUCGAAGGCCUGCGUCAUCCGUGUUACGCAGAUGGUGAUUAUGUGGCAGCGUUGGUAAUUGGGCCCGAUUACAUACUUUGGUGUCAGCGGUGCUAGUGAUUAGAGUAUUCGGAGAUUAAGAUUAAAAAAUUAAAAAUUAAAAAUUAAACUUUUUCAAAAAAUUCUUAGAUAUUGUGUGUGUGAUUUCAAUUUCUCUUUCUUUUAUUUUUAUUUUUAUUUUUUAUUAUUUUUCUCUCUCUAUCUCUCUGCUGAUGUGGCAUGGGUGUUGACUAUGUUAAAUCCAUUCGGCCAAGAGAUUUUAAUUGUAGUUCAAUUUUUUUGCAUAAGUUAAUACAAUUUUUUAGAGGAGGUAUACAUGAUCCGCUCCCUAUAUUGGCAAUACAUACCAAAAUUCAUAAAUUAUUGUGAUUUCUCUUCACAUGCCUCCUGAUUGAUAUAUAUGUAUGUAAAUAUGUAUUUAAGAGACAUAUUUUAUAUGCAAUUUACAAUUACGAUUUUAUUUAAUCAAAUAAACUUUUAUUUAUUCUUUAUAGUAAUUUACGUUUUCAAUUAUAUAGUGUAAAAUAUAAACUAUAAAAUAAUUAUUUUCAAGUUGUCUAUUGUAUUUUUGCCAUAAUAAUUCUCUAUUAUAUAUAUUUAUAUAUAUAUAUAUAUAUAUAUAUAUAUAUAAGAUAUGUAAAUUAGAAUUUUGGUGCUUUUCAACAUGUAUAAAUAUAUAUAUAUACAUAUAUAUAACACAUUAAUCAACAUCAUGAAGUAGAUAGUCAUUCUUAUUUCAAAUCAAAUUCUUUUUCAAGAAAUUCAUAAUAAAAGGUAAUAAUAAAAAACUAAUUUGAAAUUAAAAUUCAACUUGUGAAAAUAUUAUCUGAAUUUAACAAAUAAAAAAUACAAAAAAAUAUUUAUAUAGUACAAAUAACUUCAAGUAAAAGUUGUUAAUCUUCACAAGGUAUUUUUGGUCCAAAAAACUAUACUAUAACAUGUGAAAGUCAUAGAUAUGUCACUUUUUAUCUAAUAUAAAUGACGUUUAUAAAAACUCAUCUGUUAUAAAUAGUUUACAUUGUCAUAAAAGUAUCGUAGUUUAUAAUAUCAAGCGUUAAUUAAUCUUAUCAUUUUAGAUUUAUUAAAAACAAGAAGUAAGAUUUUAAAAUAUAUAUUGAUAUGCUAUUAUUUUAUCUAUUAUUCUUAAUCUACUUAAGAAUAAUCUCAAAAAAUGUUUUAAGUCUGAAGAAAUAAAACAUUUAUUUGUUGGAGGAAAGAUGUUUUUACAAUCAUUUCUUUCUUUAGACAAUAUCUAAUUCUUACCAAAUUGAGUUUUUCAACUGCAUUCUAGAAUCACAAAAAGUUUUUUAAGGAUAAUUUUAAAAAAACCAAUAUAUGUAUAUAUAUAUAUGUAUAUAUAUAUGUAUAUAUAUAUUCUUCUUCUUCUUCUUCUUCUUCUUCUAAUUACGCAACCAUUCUUUGGAAUAAUAAAAUAACUCAAUUGCCCAGUGAAUUAAGUUGCAAAUUUUUGCAAAUAAAUUUUUGACUUUUGAAAAGGAUUUUCACUAUUUUUGUUUAAUAGGUAAAGUCUUCUACAAGUAUGCCAAUUCUUUUUGUAAAAAAAAAAUUGGAUUAUUUCCUAUAUGUAAAGAUUACUGUAGAAUUAAUAUAUUAAUCAUACACAAUGGUUUUUUCUUUUCUUUUCUAAAUUUCGAUAAAUAAAUAAAUUGUAUGAACUGUAAGAGAUUUUUUUUGUUAUAUAUACCACACUUCUAUACUUCCAGAGUACAUAAGGACAUAAAUAACUUAUUUUUUGUGCAUUAAAAAAGUUCAAAGAUAGUGGACUACAUGCUAGGAUGAAAAAAAUAUGUAUUUCUAGUAAUUUAAGUAAAUGCUCUAGAACAUACUAUUUUAAAUGAUAAUUUCUAGAUAAAUUAUAAUUUUUUUGACUUCAUCAUUGAUUAUAAAGUUUUAUAGAUUGUACAAAGAUUAAACUUUUUAAAAAACAUUCCAAUGCUUAUAAAAAUAUUUAAGAUAAUAUUUUCUUAAAUUGCUUUAGUAAUUGUACAAUUUAAAAUUUUAAAAAACUAAAAACUAAAACAGAAAAUGAUGAAAUUAUUUAUUAUUUACAGAUUGAUAACAAAAAAAAAUUACAUAUCUAAUUAUUCACGACUUAGGUUAUCUGAAGUUAUUUUUCAUAUAAAUAAAAUUGUUUGAUUUUAAUAAAGGGUUGAUAUUAUUAAAAAAAAUGAAUAAAUGAUUAGUUUUAUUAUAAAUUAUUUUUAAUCAUUUUAUCAAUAAUAAUUAAUUACAAUUUAACUAUCAAAACAUUAUGAAUAAUAUUAUUUGAUUUCUUUACUUUUUAUUUUACUUCUUUAAUUUAUGAAAUAAUUUUGAAUCUCAUUAAUCAUUUUUUAUUUCAUGCUUUUAAGAACAAUGUAAUGUCUUAAAUAUCCAUUUAUCUCAAAUAAGUAGAGUUGAACACAAAACUAUUAGGUAGAUUACAUCUUUGUGUGAAACAUUAUAAUUUUUUUUUAAAUGUAGACUUAUAAGUGUCCUUAAAUGGGCCAUUUAAGUAUAAAACAAUUCAAGAGUUUUUUUUGUCUAAAAAGCCAUCAUACAGCUUAUAUGCUUGUCUUACAAGUGGUGUGGUUUUUAGGAGGCUUCUAUGUGACAUUCUCAAUAGUUGGUAUGUACAGAUGUAGAAAUGAGAUUAAUUUUAAUCUUAUUAAUGCCUCAUUUAUACUCCAAUUUAAUUCAAGACUCUUCAUUUUCUUUAUAUCUUUUAUUAAUCAUUCUAAAGGUGUAGGUAGUUAUUUUUAUUUCUAAUUAUAUAUUUUACGUAACUUUUGACAAAUUUCUAUGAAUGUAUGUCUAUAAUAGACUAUUAUAUUACUAUUUGAAUAGUUAAAAUAUAUUAUUAAUAUCUUUUAUAUAAUAGAAUUAUCUUUCCAAUUAAGUAGUUUGGAUUUUAAAACACAUAGUAUUUAUGAAUGUGUGGUAUGUUUAUAACUUUGAAUUUAUUUCAUAAGUUUUAUUUUAACAAACACAUCUAUCAUUUAGAAUGAAUGUUUAGCAAACAUAAUUAUUUAUAAGUAAUGUUGGAUGUAAUUUAAGACGUUUUUAAAAAUUGUCUCAGAUCCUACAAGAAAAAUACAAGUGCAUAAGAACUUGUGCAAACUUAAGUGCUCAAGGAAAAUAAAGAAAGAAAUAAGGAAAGAAAAAGAAUCUUCUACUAAAAGCAAAAGUUGAAUUUGGUUUGUAGAAUGACAAUAGAACACAAUGUGCAUUAAAUUGGUCAUAAUUUUUUAAUGUGUAAUACAAGAUUAAUUGAACCCUAAACUUCUUUAAUGUCCAAUAGGCCUUGAUUCUUAAAAGCAUCACCAACACACACUCUGCAAUACUUAUCUGAGACCCUCCAUUCAUCCAACUGUGUUCUGCAACUGUGGCUAACCCUAACCGAGCUUCAGGUGAACUGCAUCUUUAGUGUAUACAACCCUCAAACCAGACUUAAAACUAUGAGUUUUGUAAAGGAAACUGCACAUCUCAUUAGUAACAGAAGCUCCCCAAGUCGGUCGGUGUUCCUUCAAAAUCAGUUUCGGAUCCCAAAACCUACUUUAUACUUCUUCUCUCUCUCUCUCUCUCUCUCUCUCAAAUCACCAUAUGUUUUUGCUGAAGAGGAAGAUUUGUGUGAAAUGAGAAAACAUGGUUGAAACAUGGGCAAAUUGUCACAAGACCACUGAGCAACAAUCUGUGUGAGCAAAAGCAUUUGUAUCCGAUCUGUCCUUGGCCGAAGUUUGCCGUGUCGUGAGUUGUUGACAAGCUCAUGGCGAUGUCAGCAGCGCACAUGCACCGAAGAGUUACUGCAACUUGGGAAGGAAACUGUCUCUGUGGGUGUGAGCAAUUGCGUGUUUGGAUCUCUUCUCCACGAUUUCGGUGAGAAAAAAAAUUGCUAUUCGAGUGAAUCUCACGAGAAAGUUGGUGAUGAUGGCACACAUUCGGGAUUGGGAUAUGAAUGGGAUGCUGGUGGAAUAGCGGAGACACCGACGAUGAGUGAUUCCGCAUCAUCGGAUGUGUCUAAGGGUAACGCCGAUGCAGCGCAGAAGAGCAGGCUGGCUGUGGGCCCGGCAUUAGUUUCAUUUCCACCCAAACCAUGGAGCUCUGGUAUCUUUGCCUGCUGCCAAGACAUUGGUAGCUGUAAGAUAUCAGCACCAUGGCAUGAAUUGUAGCAUCCUGAAUGUACCGAUAUUCCAUGCCGAAGAAAUUUCCCUAACUCAUGCGUUGUGUGAAGAUUCGCUAGAACGAAAAUGAGAUAAGUGGGUUUUCAGAGGCUGAAUUUUUGUAACACUGGGUGCAGGUUUCAGAACAUUGUUUUGCCCUGCGGCAACAUUUGGAACGCUCGCCAACGCCAUCGAUAAUACUCCUGGUAUUGACCAGACUUCACCGGUCUUCAGUAACCCACGUUAUUCUUCACACAAUGGAACUUAGGGUAACCCUCGUGGAUCACAUGAUUUGGUGUCUGUGUUUCAUCGGGAGCAGUGAAAAAUGACAUCCUAGUCUUGUUGAAUGGCAAGGUCUAUCUGAAUGACUGGUGCUGACGAGAACACGAUGUGAUCAUUUUGUGGAAGUGAAGGAAGCAAGGAUAGCUGCUGCACAUACCUUGCGAUGCAAUUCUGCUUAUCAAGUGCGACGCUGUCAUCCAAGUACAGGGGUCGGAUAAGGGAGAAAUACAACUUACUGGAGGAGCCAUUGUCUGAUUACGCAACUCACUGCCUCCUUGGGCCAUGUGCUCUUUGUCAGGAGUACCGUGAACUGAAAUACAACAAUGUUGAUCUUGGUAUAUGCCCACCUGCCAGGCUCAUGCUCAUUACGUACUUCUAUGUUCUGGUGAAUCUGGUGUAUAUUGAGUUCUCCCUUGGUGUUGUGAGCAGAGCAAAAGAAAAAGAAAAUGACGACGAAAAAAAGCUUGAGGUCUGAGUUGUUCUACAAAAGCGUUGAGCGUGCCCUGCAAGAAUCUGUCGAAGCUGAAGAUGGAUCCAUUGUUUGGCUUACGACGAAACCCGGAGGCCCUCCAAAAUCUCCUAACAGCCGCCCUGCUACGACAUAAUACCAGUGAGUCAACGUGUGGACAAGACUUUGAGAACCAAUAGAUCGGAAACAAAAUUCUGUUUAGCCCUAGCUGUGUUCAAUGCUAUGGACAAGAGAAUUCCUGUAGUCUAGCCGUAAUCGCUUCGACAUGGCUCACCGGUGAGAGAUUGUGAGAAGGUGAUCAAUACAACAAGCCAAUGCGUACAAAAUAGUUAGAGCAUAGCUGGCAACGAACGAGAACGAAUUGGUUAACUUUAGGUUAACCGACUAUACACACAUUGUGUGUGUCAUCAGAGCGACCUUUAGCAACAUACGAUAUUAGCCAUAAGAUCUGUUUUGUGUGAACAUCUACCAGAGGCAGAAUGGCUACUUUACAUGAAAGUUUUGAGACAUCGAAGGUCUUGAAGAAUCAGAACUUCUACUUCGUGCUCGACACGAGAAACUCAGCUUAGGUUCUUUCAAGGUUCAACCUGUCAGUCAAGCGGAAAAUAAAACCUCCGAUGGAAUGAAUGCACCGCUCUUGCUCUGCGAAUUAUGGCGUUUACUUGCCAGACGAUCCUUGAACAUGAAUGGCAAAUUAUUUGAAUCUUAUUCAAAAGAAACACAUAGAUUGCUGGAUAUAUCCACUGUUGCAAGGAAUGUCAAGAAAAAGAACGUGAGAUUCUUCGGGCCUUCACGCAGCGGAGUGUCUCAGCCCAAGAAGUUCGUAACACAAUAUGCAUAAUUAUCCGUAGUUUUGAGUUCAGCUUUCAACGUCGAAAAUAGUAAACAUUAAUUCAUUAUCUUCGACGACGAUGAGACAUCAGUUGGUUUCAUGAAAAAAUUACAUAACACUAUUGUACAUGACGGCAGAGAACUCUUCCAAGAGAAUCUCCCGAUUGCGCAGAAAUUCGUCAACGGACGCCCCAUGAAUAUAUAUUUAAGUGGGGUCCUGCCCAAUACUGUGCAAUCACGUUUAUCGAAUUAUGAUCACCGCAGGAAACAGGAUGAUGACACAUACCAAAGGAAUAAGAAUAAACGGAGGCCGGGCACAAUUUGCUCUCUUUUAUUUGCUCUUAUCAAGUAGCUCUAUUGUCAGGGUUCCCGUCUUGAUUCUCUAUUAGCUCUUAUCACAACAGCAAGCUAGGUGUCUCUCAGGAUAGCAAGCACAGAGCAUCAUGCAAUUCGAACAAUACUCUUCGGAUGACACUUUCCAGUAUUCUCCAUCCACAUUCCCCUCAAUCCCUUCACCAUCGACUUAUCCAACCGAAACAUUUUAACAGUUUCAGAGACUCCGUGAUUGCAGAAGUCGUAUUCACUGUUACAAAAACACGUCAACACUACUGCUAAAAUACAGCGGUGGUUAUCAUCCAAUUUGUGAACCCCGCAGACAGUGUAUCCUUCAACUUGCACAGCUACAGCAUUGCUGGUUGAUUUCCAAGACCACACGCUCCUCCCCACCCAGCGUCAAUCAAAAAAGAAAAGAAAAAAACGAAAAAAAAAAACUCAGGGGAUGGAUCCGAAAAGGGCUGGAAGUUUCAAACUUCAAAAAAAGCAUGCGUGGGAAUCGGACGGAAGCAGACAAGGUGGACUGGUUAAUCCCUAAACCCUAGAUUCCGGCUGACGAGAAGCGAGGAAGCACGGACUCGCUGUCUAGUCAUUUAUAAUGAAGCAUUACUAGUGCCUUCACAGGAAGAGCAACAGUUGCAACAGACAGGGGGAUAGAAUUGUCCUUGUUGCGAACCAGACUCAGACAGGCAAGGAGUGUGAGACAUUCUGGUUUUUCUGAUUAUCUGGGUACCCAUUUAGCUGUCCCGUCUGCCCCAAAAGCCGAAGUUCCCCCGUUGCCUUGCCUUGCCAUUGCCUUGCCUUGUCGUUGCCUUGCCCUGCGGAACCCCAUUUCCGAUCCCAGUCAAGGUUUAGCAACAGCAAGGGCAACAGCCAUAGCGAUGGCCGCCACUUCUAGAGGUUCCCUCUCCCUCCUCUCUCUCAAUCUCUCCUCUUCCUUGGCUUCGGCUUCUUCUCAUCCACAGUCUCGCUGUUCUCUCUCCAUGGCCACGUCCCGAAGUUCGCACUUGGGAGGCGCUCGGGUCCUUCUUUCUGUCAAGCACCGCCUCUCCACUUCCCCCUCGGUCACGACCGGAGCGCCUCGUGUUCUGGCUUCCGGGACCGCCAAUGCGUCACUCGCUCCUGCCGUCUCGCCGUCCCCAUCCAGCCCUGGUGCCUCCAGCCAGGGUGAGCUGAUUGAGCUCGUCAAUAAUCGAGACUGCUGUUGGAGUAUUGCUUAAACGGAAUUGCUAACCAAUUUUGUUUUGUUUCGGGAUCAUUGUAGUUUUCGUGAGUGGGUUUCUGAUGGUGUUUGGUGAUAAUCUGGAGCCGUAUUUUGCAUUAACAACAAAUAAUUUUAUUUUACAUUCUAUCUGGUAGAUGUUUCGCUCUGAGGGUUCACAUGUCGAUGGCUCUUUUCUGUAGAUUGAUUUUUUUUUCAUGCGUGUUUUGGUUUCUCGCAGGAGCGAAGCAGGCCCUCAUUUCUCUUUCUGACAAGCGAAACCUUGAAUUGCUUGCCAAGGGACUUGAGGAUCUUGGGUAAGCUCUCUUCUUCUCAUGUACUUGAAUAUGUGAUGUUUUGCGAGACGUGAAACUUCCUUUGAGGGUAAAUAAUUGCUCUUAACCUCGGAUAUUACCAGGGUUAUGAGUUCCUCUACUCGCAAUUUUAUUGUUCCAUGGGAGGUCUGGAGUAUAUUGCAGCGAGUGAUAUUGGAUGGGUGGUUCAUUUGCAGAUACAAGUUGGUGUCAACAGGCGGUACCGCCACAGCUCUUGAAAAAGCAGGCUUUUCUGUCACGAGGGUUGAAGAGCUGACAUCGUUUCCGGAGAUGGUAAAUGACUAUGACAUCAUCCUCUUCUCCUUUCUUGCUUUUCUUCUGUCUUUAUUCUUAUAAUUUAUUAAUUAUUAUUUAUCGUAUUUUUCAUAGUGAUGCAUGGUUCGUUCCUUCCCUAGUAGGGAUAGUACGGUCCUGAAUUCUUCGGUUCCUAUUUGAUUUUUCGUUUCUUUGAUAAUUGUGAGGGAAGGCUUAUCGCACUAAGAGGAAACCUUAGCUAUUUCUUAUGUGGUGGAUCCUCCUGCAUGAGAGGGUGUUUGACAUACUAUCGGAACAUCUCAAGUCGUGUAAUAUCCUAAAUUUUAACAUAUAGUUUCGUGCACGGCACCGCAAGCUGAUGUUUGUGAUAUGUCUGUGCUACCUCAAGCUUGACGGGCGCGUGAAAACGUUACACCCAGCAGUGCAUGGCGGUAUUUUGGCAAGGCGAGACAUGCAAGCUCACUUGGAAGCACUCCAGCAGCAUGGAAUUGGUGAGUGCUGCUUUUGUAUGACCAUGGCAACGUUGUUCAUAAUUACAAUUAUCUUAGGUUGAAAACUGAACUUAUGAUAUCAGUUAAUCAAUACCAGGUCGAAGACCAUAUUAGAUUUGUAGUAGUUGGAUUGAUGUUAUUGUCCGUUCUUGGACUGUGCUGACAUGAGGACACUUCAUUGAGUUUAUACUCAAAUGGCGAAUUUUCAUUUCUUUCAGGAACUAUUGAUGUGGUGGUGGUGAACCUUUACCCUUUCUACAGUACUGUGACUUCUUCUAGUGUAGAGUUUGAGACGGGAGUAGAAAACAUCGACAUUGGAGGUCCAUCUAUGAUUAGAGCUGCCGCGAAGGUAAGAUAGGACUCGUGUUUCAGAUUUGUCUUGAUUGGAGUCUCAAACGUGUCAAUCUGAUCCCCGGGUCGUUUCCUGACACCUGCAAAUGUUCAACUUGCUAUUGUAGCCCUAUUCUUACGUUCCACUUAUCAAUCGUCCUCAAUUUCUACAUUCCUCGUUCCUCGUUAUUUGAUGCACCCCAAUGGGAAUGCAUCUAAUCUCAUUCUUGAUGCACCGAAGGAGGCUAAUGUGAAUGUUGAAGCUAGUAUCAUAUCGGAUCAUAAUAGUAAUCUAUUACAUCUAAAACACGUACAUUGACUGGUCUUACAGAAUCACAAGGACGUGAUAGUAGCAGUGGACCCUGACGAUUACCCAGAGAUUCUAGGAAAGCUGCAGAGUGAUGAUGACGGUGAUUCUAGCUUCCGGAGGAGGUUGGCAUGGAAAGCCUUCCAGCACGCCUCAUCUUAUGACUCAGCUGUGGCUGAGUGGUUAUGGAAGCAUCAACGAGAUGGUGGUACGUUGGUUGUUUUCUAGCAUCACUUAUUUAAAGCAGAUUGAAGCCCAGCUCAUUUUUUCGAUGAUGGCACAAUUUUAAGCUUGCAUUUGAGUCCAGAGUAUCUCGUGUCUGUUGCCCAAGUUUCACUAUUGAGACUUUUUUUGGGCAAUUUACAGAAGAAACGACUGAAUUCCCACCAAGUCUGACAGUACCUCUGAGCUUGAAACAAAAGUUGAGGUAUGGUGAGAACCCACAUCAGCGGGCUGCUUUCUACGAAGACAAGUCCCUCUGUGAGUUUGGAGCAGGGGGCAUCGCCACUUCAGUCCAAUAUCACGGCAAGGUGAGUACCUGAUAAGAUGACAUACUUUUAUUGCCCCGAAUGUGCGUCAUGAGUUGAUUACUGUAUAAUCACCAUUAAUAGUCUUGUGUUUUUUGGCAUAUUGUUUGUGGCUGCGAGUCAGGUUCUGAGUGAAGAUGUUGAACCAUGUUUGUUGAACAGGAAAUGUCAUACAACAACUAUUUGGAUGCCGACGCAGCCUGGAAUUGUGUAUGCGAGUUCAACAAUCCUACCUGUGUUGUGGUCAAGCACACUAAUCCUUGUGGAGUUGCUUCUGUUGGUCCAAACCAAGGGCUGCUGGAAGCCUACCGACUUGCAGUGAGGGCUGAUCCUGUGAGUGCUUUCGGAGGCAUUGUCGCGUUCAAUGUGGAAGUGGAUGAGGUAAAUCUUUGCCGCUUCUCAGUAACCUUUGUCACUCUAAUAUUUGUUGCUGCAUGCGAGUUUUAAAACUUUUUCCAGCCAUAUUUAGUCCCACCAUAUCUACUACGGCCUAAUUUCAUUCUUGUUUUCACAGACCCUUGCACGGGAGAUUCGGGAAUUCCGAAGUCCCACGGAUGGCGAGACCCGGAUGUUCUAUGAAAUUGUGGUGGCUCCUAGUUACACAGAGAAAGGUCUGGAGAUAUUGAAGGGAAAAUCUAAAACCCUGCGGAUUUUGAAGGCAGAGCACACUAAAAAGGGCCGACGGUCUUUGCGGCAAAUUGGUGGCGGCUGGUUGCUUCAGGAUUCUGAUGAUAAGACACCCGAGGACCUCGGUUUCAGAGUUGUUACAAGCAAGGUCCCAACCUUGGAGCUUGUAGAUGAUGCACAAUUUGCUUGGCUCUGCUGCAAGCAUGUUAAGAGUAACGCCAUUGUUGUGGCUAAGGUAUGUUUGCAUUCUCUGUGUCCAGUUCCCUUACUAGCAUUAUAUUGUUAUAACGAAGUUCUUUAUUACAUAUUUUGUCUCUAUUUUUCUCAAUUUGACUAUGUAUUAACGCCGCUAGAAUUUGUCAUCUUGUAGGAUAACCGGAUGUUGGGUAUGGGGAGUGGCCAACCUAACCGUGUCAAGAGUUUGCAAAUAGCUUUGGAAAAAGCUGGGGAGGAAGCCAAAGGUGCUGCUCUUGCUAGUGAUGCAUUCUUUCCGUUCGCCUGGAAUGAUGCUGUGGAAGAUGCUUGCAAGGCCGGUGUGAAGGUCAUAGCACAGCCUGGUGGUAGCAUGCGCGACCAGGACGCUAUCGAUUGCUGCAACAAGUACGGAGUAGCUAUGCUUUUCACUGAAGUUCGUCACUUCCGACAUUGAUGUGAUGACACUGAACCAUUUAAGCUCUCUGGAAACGAUAUUGGGAGAAUCCUGGCCUGUCCAACUGCUUUGAAAAUGCAUGAGCACAGCCGAGGGACCAGUCUGGUAGUUUUACACAAUUGAACACGGCUGUCAAGUUAGUUUUGGCGUUACCAAUGAGGUGGGCUUUUGUCCAACACCUGGUGAUUAGCGGUGAAGAGUGUCUUCAUCUUUAUCAGUCACCCGGAGUGUCAAGAUUUUGGCUUUAGAGAAGUAUACACAUUGAAUAGAUGUGAGGACAGAAUUCUGAAAGAGGAUUCGCCCAUGCGGCCAUUUUUGUUUUUGUGUGCACCUCGCAGUUAGAGGUAGUAGAUCCGAAUAAGUUUGCCUUGGCAUGACUGAGAUGGAGGCACCUGGUAAGUGUAGGUACUAAUUCUGCAGCAUUUUAAUAGCAACUGGAGGCGGAGUCUACUAGUUUUCCUCAUUUGAGACAUGGUCAUCAAUCUUGGAGCUCUACUCUCAACUUGUUUUCAAUUUUGUGUAUCCUCCAGUACCAUCUUCUCGGUCUCCACGCAAUUCAAACCGUGUUCCUUCUGCCCUUAACUUUCAGCAACAAGACUCCAAAACUAUAUGCAUUCGAUUCUUUCGAUGCUUUGUCUGAGUCUAAGUUAUUGAAUCUCGAAGUAAGAAAAAUUGCCCUUCCAUACGUUUCCAAACCUGCCUUUGUCAAGCAUCUUGCUAUCACCUUUCAGGGUCAUUCGAAAAAAUAGAGUAGAUUUGUGAAAUUAUGCUAUAAAGAUGGAUAACAAAGAGUCAUGGUUUAGAUUUUUAAAGCCACUAAAUACAAAUGGAAAUGUUGAACAUCUACAAUUCAAUAUAAAUAUAUGUGUAGACAACUGAAAUUGAAAUUGAUUGUUUUUAUCACAUACUUGUAUUAAUCGAAUUGAUUGAGGGUUUAAAAGAAUUUAUUAUCAUUUUUAAAAAAAAAUCAAAGCAAAAUACUGGAAAUUAAAAAAAAACCACGAAAGAAUAUAUCUAUAUAUAUAUAUACACAUAUAUAUGUGUGUGUACAUAUAAAAAUACACAUACUAUAAAUUAAUCCUUUGUUGUGAAUAUUUAGAGCAUGUAAAAAAGGAUAAAAUUUCUAUAUUAUAUUGUUUCGUUAUCAGUUUCAAUAUAGGAAAUAUAAAUGAAUAAAAUAGUUCUAAAACAAAUUGCAAACAAAUUAAUUAACUUCCAUAAAAAACAACAACGUACUAAAUCAAAUGUAUAGAUUCUGGUUACAUUUGAUUGUGGCAGAACUAUUUCUCUCCAGUAGAAUCUUGAUCUACAUUUAUACUAUAAAAAUUUAUUUAAAAAAAUUCAUGUCUUUACAAGUGCGGUCAGAUAAAAAUUUAAGAACUUUUCAGGACUCCUGCAAAAGUUUCCCUAAAACUUAUUUUAAAAAUUGAGUGUCUAAACUCUUUAAAACUAUGCACAAUAUUUUACAAAAUAUUUUAGUGCAAAUUAUUGCUUUGAUAUCAUUUAAAAUCAUCAAAAUUCAUACUCCAUUCUUAAAGAAAUAAUGAUAAUAAAUGUUAUUGUUCAAAUUUUGUACAUAUGAAGUUUCUUUCAUAACGUAAAUAUGUCAACAUCUAUCAUAAUGUUAAGAUGUCAAUAGUUGAGUUAAAUAUAUUGUGAUAGAAUAUUUUUCAUCAAAAUACUCAUUGAUUGAAAUCAAAAUGUAAUAAAUUGUUAUGUAUAUAUAUAUAUAUAUAUAUAUAAGUUAAAAAAAAUUUACAUGAAUAAUAUGAAAGAAGUUGAAAUAUUUUAUUAAAAUUAAAAAAGGCAAGUGUUAAAAUGACCUACCCAUUUAUUAAAUUGACCCACCUUAUUGUAGAGAAUAAGGGAGAACAAGAAAGGUGGGAAUGAUGGCUAUGAUUGUAAUCAUGGUUUUUGGAGAUGAUCCAUUUUUCUAUUGAUGGUUACAAUAGGGUGAGUUGAUUUAGUAAAUAGAUGUGUCAUUUUAACAUUUUCCUUAAAAAAUACUAAAUCUAUAAUUGGUACUUAUACACUUUAAUAAAAAAAAUAAGUAAACAUGAUUUUUUUGAAUUUAUAAUAUAAAUAUAUAUAUAUAUAUAUAUAUAUAUAUAUAUUAAAAAUUAUAUAUUUGAAUUAUAAUAAAAUUAUACUCAAAUUUUAAAAAAAUUAAAAUAAAAUUUGAAUAUUUUAAUUUUAAAAUAAUCAUUUAAUAGUAUCUCUAUUUAUUUUUAUGAAUGGUAUAUAAAUAUUUAAAGAUUAUUCAUACCAUUUUGUUAUUUUAAAUGCUAAAACUUAUACACUAGUAGUACAAGCUAUUAUUAAUUAUACCAUCUUUGAGUGAAUUUCUAGUCUUUUCAAGUCAUACAAGAGUAUAUUGAUUUUUUAGUUCUUUAAAAUUUACGUCCUUUACAAUUUAACAAGAGUGCUAUUUUUUUGUUGUUGUUUUGUUUUUAGAAGUAAGUGGAUUAUUCGACUUCUAUUGUUGUCUUUUGAAGGUUGUAGACCACCUAUCUUUAAACUAACAAUUUAGUUUUCUAACAGUGAUUUUUUGCUUAAAAAAAAGUGAACUAUCCCUCUUUGUAGAAAUUUUUAUUUGGUAUUAGAGGUUGUAGAUUAUCCUCCUCUAAUUUGACUUGUGAAUUUAUUUGGCUUGUCUAUAAAAGGAAAAAUUAUGGAUGCUACUUACAGUGGAAGUGAGAAUAGAUUUGCACCUAUUGCAAAUCUUCACCAAUUUGUCAACACUCUUAAGUUGGAUAUGUCACUUAUUUCUAAUGUAAAUCAUGGAAUUAAUAUUUUUAUGCUUAUAGAAGAAGUAAACAAUAAGGUUUAAAUUCUACACUAAGAAGUUGUAGAAUUGAGAGAAAUAAGUAGAUCAAGUUCAAUGUUGAAUGUAAGAAGUCUUACUUCUACAAGUAUGAGGGAAACAAGGAUAAACAUGCCACAAAAGUUUGGUAGAAUAAGAUCAAAGUUUUGAAGAUUUUUAUAGUAAGUGAAGCUUUAUUUAAGGUUGCAUCCCUUCCAAUGUCCUAACAGAUUUAAUAAGUUGAAUUUAUAGGUAUACUUCUAUUUAAAAUUACUCUCUUUUGGUUUGCACCUUUAAUGGAAGAAGAUUCAUGAUUCUUUUAUAAUUUGAAUUCAUUCUUAGAAGUCUUUCUAGCCAUAUUUGGAAAAAAUAAUCAAAUAAGAGUAGCAAAGAUUAAACUCUUAUUUUUACAAUAAUGAUCACAUUUAGCUACCAUAUUUGCUGCAAAAUUCCAAAACCUUGCUUGUGACAUAGAUUGAAGUGAUAGAGCCCUUGUCAAUUAAUUUUUAUAAGAAUUAAAAAACAAUGCCAAAGAUUUAUUAUUGACAAUGUUAAGAUCAAACUUAUUGGAAUAAUUUAUUAUUUAAGUUAUUAUAUGCAAUAAUCAAUUUUUUGAAAGAUAUUAAAAAUAAAGUUUUGGCUAAAGAAAUAUGAGUCAAGUUAUGGCAAGAACUUCUAAGUUUUGAAAAGCUUAUUUGUCAAGACUAAAACCUAUGCAAAUUUAUACGAUAUAUUUCAAAUCUUUUAUAGAGAAAGAAAAGACUCAAUAUUAUUAAAGAAGAUUGUGCUUAUAAUAUAGAGAAUCUAAGUACACUCAUCAAUAUUAUCAAAGAAAGUAAAAUAAUCUUAGAAUGAAGAGCAUGGUUGCUGACAAUGACAAUGUAUAAAAAGUAAGUAUUUCUAACUAUAAAAAGAACCGUUUGGUUGAAAUCUUACAUAAUAUCUAUUAAAAGUUAUAUUUUCUCUUCAAAUUCUUCAUCUUAUUUUAUAAUAGAAGUUUUUUUAGGAUAAAAAAAAUCACAAAAUCUUUGCUUUAUUAAAUUCAUGAAUUUUAGCUUAUUUUUAUAAAAAAAGCCUUUAUUAAAAAAUAAGCCAUAUAUUUAAUUAAGAAAAAUAAAUCCAUACAUGUAGUAUUUAUAGAUGAUCAUUUAUUAUUCUCUGGAUACAUUACCUAUAAAAUAGUUCUUUUAGAUGUAGCAAGUUAAAAUCAUAAUAACUUAAUAAUGUUUAAUGUGAUUAAAUUUCCUUUUAAUUCAAAUAUUUUAAGAUUAUUGUUGCUAGAAAAGUAUAUCUCUCAAAUAGUAUCAAGGAUAUAAAUCUCAAAAAAUUGAAACAUCAAUACACUCUUAUAUCACUCAAAAAGAUUUAAAAAUCGCUUUUAAGAAGCUUUUCUAAAAAUAUUAUGAAAUAAAUCGACUUUUACUUAUUUCUACUUAAUCAUAUAGAUAAAAAUCAUAAUAAAUAUGUAUGUCCGUGAUAUUACCUCCUCCUUUUGAAAUUGAGUUCUAUGAGGAGCAGUGAUCAUAUUUUGAAAAAAUUCAAGAUACAAUAAAUUAUUUUUGCUACAUAUUAUAAUCUUUAUUUUUUUCAAAGAGAAAUUGAUAUGUCUUCUUAGCCAUCAAUAGCGUUCCAUAUUAAAAUAGAAAGACCACCCUAUUAUUUGAUCAUUGUUUAGGCCUUUAUAACUUCUUUCAAAUAAAACAUUUAGAAUACCCUUAAACGUUGUUUCAACCUCUAAUAAAAUCACCAAACAUCAAGAGUCUCUUUUAAAGUCGUGAUAUCAAACACAUUGUAUCUUACUAUCUAUUCAAGAAAAAAUAAGUUCUUAAAAAUCUUCAUCUUGAUUAUGUUGUCUUGAAGGUUGUGACAAUCAUAAUAUUUUGUCCAAUAAGUUAGUAAGUAGUAGCUCUUGAAUUGAAUCUGCUAAUUAUUGAUUUUUCAUCUCUACAGUGUUACAAAUAUACAAAAGUAUCAAAUAAGAAUAGAAUAUAGAAUGCUAUCUUCUUUAGUUUUUAUUUCUUUUAUAGCAAAAAUUUUCUAUUCUUUAUCUUAGUUUUCAUAAAUGUCAUUAGUGAAAAAUCUCAACCUUCUUUGUUGUAUUUACAAGAUUCUUUAGUAGCUCUCAUGUACAUUUACUAAUAUCAUAUUUGUGCCAAUAAAUAAGAUAUUCUAACCUAUUUCAAGGUCGCCUUAAAUCUAAGACUUCUUCUACCUCAAAUUCUUGAAUAUUUUUGACUUAUGUAAGAAGAAGUGGCAUUUGUCUUCUUCUUAAGAUAUUCAUUGAUUUAUAUGGCUCAAAAAAAGAUAUAUGUAAUAUAAGAUGGAUCUUCAUAGAUAUAAUUAAUAAGCAACAUAAUUGACUUAUUCACCUGUAGGAAAAGGUCCUAGCCUACCAUAGUCCAACUUAUUACAAUGACAAGUAAUCUUGAUAUUGUGACAAAAUAGCCAUACCUUAUUACUCACGUUGAAUUGUAGUUGUUCUUUGUAAUAGGCAUGCACAUUGAUCUUUUGCUAUUCUUGAGCAUCCUUUAAUUAUGCCUUCAUUAUUGGAUGUAGUUCUAAUAAAUGAUUUUUCAAAUCUUCUAUCGUAAGAUUAUUAUAUGCAAAUAACUUCAAAUACUACUGUAUAACUUAAUUCACACAUUCUAUUUGUCCAUCAAUUUGAAGAUGAAAGCCAAAGAGAGCUUUAUAUCCACCUUUAAUAUCUUGAAAAGGAUUUUCUAAAAUCUUGAUAUAAAUUAAAUCCUCCUAUCUGAUAUAAUAUCUUUGAGCAAUCCAUAAUAGCAAUAGAUGUUGUCAAGAAAAAGUUUAGUAAUUUUUUUUACUUAUAAUAGAUUUUGUAUAUGAUAAAAAAUAUACCAUCUUAGUAAAAAAAUCUACUAUAAUAAAUAUAGAAUCAUAUAAACUUAAAAUUGGAAGAUUUAUGAUAAAAACUAUAAAAAUAGAAAACUAUAGUUGUUUUGGAAUAGAUAAUGGUUGAAGAAGUGUAAAAAAUUAAUGACGAGGAGUUUUGGAUCUUGAAAAAAUAUCACAUGAUUAUACAAAGUCUUUGACUAUAUUUCAUACUUAAGGCCACAAAAAGUCUUUAUAUAUUAGCUCCAUGUCACGGACACAGAAAUACAGGCUCGAGAUCUAACAAGAAGUUUAAUAAGAACUGGUAAGAACUAGAUUAAUCAAAUAAAUACAAGAACAACACCAAAGAGAUGAGCUAGAGCUCCAAGAGAUGUGUUGUCGAGAUUGAAGAAUUCUUUAGUCUUGAUUCCAAUAUAUACUCCUAUUUAGGAAGCUUCUCAAACAACUUCUAUCAACUAUGAAGCUUCUCAAGCGACUUCCACCAACUAAAAAGCUUCUCAAGCAACUUCCACCAACUAGGAAGCUUCUUAAGUGACUUCCACCAACUAGGAAGCUUUUCAAGCAACUUCUACUAACUAAGAAGCUUCUUAAGCAACUUCCACCAACUAGGAAGCUUUUCAAGCAACUUCCACCAACUAAGAAGCUCCUCAAGCAACUUCUACCAACUAGGAAGCUUUUCAAGUAACUUCCACCAAAUAGGAAGCUUCUCAAGCAACUUCCACUAACUAGGAAACUUCUAGAAGGUUCCAGAGACUUAUCUCUAGAAGGUUCUAAGGACUAUGUCCCUAACAUCACCCCCUCCUUUAGCUUCGAGGUCUCUGAGAAGCAAUAUUAUUGUUAAGCAGUACCAACACAAGAAAAUGAAGAUCUGUCACAUAACGUCUGCUAUGAACUCCAACUGUUGUUCAUAAGGCAAGUGGUUCAUCGGCCCUUGAAGCCAAUGGUAGUGGCCCACGCCUUCGACUUCUGACCAAGCAUGAACUUCCAUGUCCUCAUUGUGAAAUUGUCCUACAAACACGCCUUUUGGCUGACCAUCGUAAGCAGGCUAAAAUUCAAAUACAAUCACCAGUGAUCAGUUACUCGGUAUCCUCCGUCGUCAUCGUGGUAUAGGCAGUUCUUCAUCUCGGGGUCGCCUUUGUGAGCUAGUCGGUUGAGAUAAUCUGACUAGCAUAGUAUCUAUCUCUUGGCUAUCCAUAUCAGAAGGCUAUUGAAAAAAUUCUACUUUAUCAACUACGAGUUUUGGUGGUGCUCUCCCCCUUUCUUAUAUUCUUGAGUGAACAAGCUUCAGAAAAAAGCUAUCAUCGAAUCGGCUUAGGUUUAUGAGGAUGUUAUUGAUGAAACUCUUGUAUCUUUUGUGGCGUAUUGGCAAGAUUUUCAUCUGGUUCCCACGUUCGCUCAUUAAUAUCGUAGCCGCACCAAACAAUAAGAUACUCCAACUUGCCCCACCUUUGCCGUGAAUCCAACACAUUUUUGAUCUCGUAUUCCUCGUGGUUCUCGAUCUCAUUACUAGGUGGCAGACAUUGCAUUCUUUUAGGAAAGGACGACUCUCGAUAAGGCUCCAAUAGAGAAACAUGAAAGACUGGAUAUAUCUUCAUAGAAGCUAGUAAUUCUAGAUUGUACGCCACUGGAUUGAUUUGCUUCUGGAUGAUAAAUGGUCCCAAUCAUCGAUAGUCCAACUUAUCACACGGUCGCUUGGUCUUGAUAUUUCAUCAAAGAAGCCAUGCUUUAUCUCCAAUUUUGAAAGUAGGUGCUUGAUUUCGAAAUCUAUCUACAAACGCCUUGUAGGAUUCUUGAGCGGAUUGUAAUUGAAGCUUCAACGAAGUUUGAAGCUCUGAUAGUUGCUUCGUAAAUCCUUCAGCUACUGGAUUGUUAUUUGUUAACGGACUCAAUAAAUCAAGCUUUACUUGAUAUCCAUAGUUAGCAAAGAAUGAUGUGUAUUGAGUCAACGCAUGGAGGGUGUUGUUAUAUGCAAACUCGACUAGCGACAGAUAUGCGGUCCAAUCGUCUUGCUGAUAGUUGAUGUUGCAUCGUAAGUAUUGUUCCAAGACUUAGUUCACCUGUUCCGCUUGGCCGUCAGUUUGAGGAUGGAAAGUCGAAGAAAGCUUAAUAUCCACCUUCAGUAUCUCAAAAAGAGAUCUCCAAAACUUUGAUACGAACUGGGUUCCUCGAUCUGAUACGAUAUCAUCUGGUAGUCCAUGAUAUCGAUACACAUUAUCGAGAAAGAGCCUUGCUGUGACUUCACUAGACGAUGUCUUCUUGCAACGAACAAAGUGCGCCAUCUUUGUAAGCCAAUCUACCACGACAAAGAUGUUGUCAAAUGAGUUCGAUGAUGGCAAGUCUAUGAUGAAGUCCAUGGAAACUGAAGACCAUGGUUGACAUGGAAUCGGCAAUGGUUGUAGAAGUCCAUAAGGGCGAUGUCGAGGAUUCUUGGAACUUAAACAAAAAUCACAGGAGAGGACAAAAACUUUCACAUCCUUCCACAUUUGGAGCCACCAAAAAUCUCAAGAAAUAAGCUCCAAGGUCUUGUUGAAUCAAAAAUGUCCCCAGCCAGAAAAUCGUGGCGAGAUUAAAGAACUUAGAGUCGUGCUAGGCCUUUUGGAAUAUACAACUGCUCCUCAAAGUAUAAAAGAUCUCUCUCUACUUUGAACUUGUCGUCAUUGGUACGUUGCUUGAUAUCAAUGGCUACUGGAUCUUCAAUGGUUACGGCACGUACCUGGUUCAGGAAGUCAGCAUCAAUUGGCACAAUAGUAGCGCAAAGCCAAAAUUGCUCUGGCUUCAACAACGUCAUACAUUGUUGAUCAAAUGCUUCUUCUCCAGCCUUUGGUACAAGAUACGAUCUCUUCGAUAAGGCAUUGGAUAGUCUUUGUUGCUUUCCAGGUUGAUAAGUGAUAACAAAAUCGAAUCUAGAUAGCAACAUACUCCACCAUGCUUGACAUCGAUUUAGAACUCGAGCCGACAUGAAAUACUCCAAAUUCUUGUGAUCAGUAUAUAUGGUCACUAGGUGUGCAGCUCCUUCAAGAAAGUGAUGCCAUUCUUGGAAAGAAUCGACUAUAGCAAGAAGUUCCUUAUCAUGGAUCUCAUAAUUGAUUUCAGCAGCAGAGAACUUUCGAGAAUAAAAUGCAACUGGAUGGAGCUUCUUGUCUUCUCUCAUUUGUGAAAGUACAGCUUCCAAAGCAAAAUCCAAAGCAUUAAUUUUUAAAUAGAAGGCCUUUGUAAAGUCUGGAUGUACUAAGAUCGGAGCCGAAAUAAAUGCCGUCUUCAGGUCUUGAAACGUCGUCUCGGCUAGAGGUCCCUUUAGCUUAUCCUAGCAUGUCAAUCGAGUGAGAGGAGCAGCAACUUGAGAGUAAUUCUUAAUGAAGAUUCGAUAGAAGUUAGCAAAGCCAAGAAAGCAUUGUACGUCUCUAACCGUCUUCGAAACCUCCUUGGACACGAUUGCUUCUACCUUCUAGGGGUCCAUCUUCAAGCCUUCCGUAGUCGCAACGAACCCCAAAAACUCCAUCUCCAUUUGGUGAAAUAAACACUUCUCCAACUUGGCAUAUAGUCCUCGCUUGUGUAGUUUCUUUAAGAUCAAACGAAUGUACUUUUCAUGCUCUUCCUCGUUUUUGGAGAAUAUCAAAAUAUCAUCCAAGUAGAUGACAACAAAAUCAUCAAGGUGCUUUCGAAAAAUGUCAUUCAUCAUAAUGUUGGAAGACUACUAGAGCAUUGGUAAGACCAAAGGGCAUGACAUUAUAUUCAAAAUAGCCAUACCUUGUACGGAAUGCUGUCUUCCACUCAUUUCCUUCCUUUAUUCAUACGAGGUUGUAAGCUCCCCUUAGAUCAAUUUUUGUAAAGAUCUUUGCACGUCCAAGUUGUUCUAAGAGACCAGAAAUCAAAGGUAAUGGGUAAUGAUUCUUCUUUGUUAUCUUGUUGAGGCCUCGAUAGUCCACGCACAUCUGCAACGAGCCAUCUUUCUUCUUCACAAAUAAGAUGGGUGCCCCAGCUGACGAUUUUGAAUGAUGGAUGAAGUUCUUGGCUAGAUUCUCGUCGAUGAACUUCCGCAACUUCGCCAACUUUGUUUGCAAUAGAUUGUAGAUUGAGCCAAAAGGCGGUUAAGCUCCUUCUGUUAGGGACAUAGUCCUUAGACCUUUCUAGAGACAAGUUUCUAGAACCUUCUAGAAAGAAGUCUCUAGAAACUUCCAGAAGAUUCCUUGAAUAUUCUCUUAGAAUAUUCUUUAAAGAUUCCCUAAAGAUUCUUUAAAGAUUCCCUAAAGAUUCUUUGAAGAUUCCCUUAGAAGGCUUUAGAAGAUUCUUAGAAUAUUCUAGUAGAUUCUAGGAAGUUACUUGAGAAGCUUCCUAGCUCUUGAGUAGUUGCUCGAGAAGCUUCAUAGUUCUUGGGAAGCUUCUUGAUGCGCUUCCUUAGAACCAUAGGCCAGUAGUAUAUAUAGGAGUCGAGGCUGAAGAGUUCUUCAGUCUCGACAACACAUCUCUUGAAGCUCUAGCUCAAUUCUCUUGGCGUUGCUCUUGUACUCAUCUGAUAAUCUAGUUCUUGUCAUUUCUUCUUGAACUUCUUGUUUAGAUUUCUUGUUUGUAUUUUUGGUCCGUGACAGUUUGUCGAGACUACCUUUAUCUUAAUAUCAGAGCUGAAUCUUUCUUGUUUGAGAGCGGAUUACCUCUCUUCUUGAAGGUAUUCUAGCGCUUUAGGGAUUGCGGAUUACCUUCCUCUAAACUGAUAUUUUCUCAAUCACAAUAUCAGAGCUUAGUUCUUUGAGGCAGAGAGUGGACUACCCCUUUCCUUGGAGAUACUUGAGCGUUCUAAGGGUUGCGGAUUACCCUCUCUUGGACUGAUAUUAAUUCCUUCUUUUUGUUUAGCAUAGCUAGUAAAAAAGAUUGUUAACAUCGAUUUCAGAGCUUUGCCUUCUUGAUAGAGUGCGGAUUACCCCUCUUCUCGAAAGCAUUGAGGCAUUUUUAGAGGUUGUGGAUUACCCUCCUCUAAAACUGAAAUCGUUUAGUGUUUUUUUUUCUUUUCUCCGAAUAGGUUUUAGUGACAGGUAGUGCUACAAUUUUCUCCAAGAGACUUAGCAAUUUCUUCUUCUCUCAAAAUUUUAAUCCAUCUAUUCUCUAAAUAUGGAAGUAGACCAGGUCAUAGACAGUGCAUCUCCACAAGUAGACAAUAGAGUGGCAACUCUUGUAGAUCUUCAAGCUCUUAUGAAUAGUGUACGAAAGGAGAUUGCAUUUCUUCGCAAUCCAAGUAAAGAACCUCAAAUUGAUCUAGUGACCGAAGAAGCUAGACGCAAAAUUUAUAGCCUACAACAAGAGAUUAUUCGACUGAGAGAAGCAAGACAUGUGUCACAUACGACUCCUAUGGAUACUUCAAGGAUUAGUACGAAAGAACCAAAAGCGAGUAUGCCAGACAAGUUUGACGGAACAAGAGCCAACUUCCGAGGUUUUGUGCAACAAGUACGGCUUUACCUACGCCUACACCCUUCUCGUUAUCCGAAUGGAUUUACCCAGGUUGCUUUCAUAGGUACUCUUCUAUCAGGAAAUACUCGCUCUUGGUUUGCUCCACUAUUGGAGAAGGAUUCUCCAAUAUUGUACGACCUAGAGGCUUUCAUAGAGAGACUUACUGCUGCGUUUGGAGAUAGCGAUCGAGAAAGAGUGGCUGAAAGAAAGAUACAAAAUCUGCGACAAGGAUCACGUUCUGCUGCAAUCUAUGCUGCAGAAUUUCAACAGCUUACAUGUGAUCUUGAUUGGAAUGAUAAGGCGUUCAUGACACGAUUUCGAUAUGGACUGAGAGAUGAUGUCAAGAACUUAUUGAUCACCAUGCCUAAGGCGGAUACUUUAGAAGAACUUAUAUCUCAGGCAAUUAUUUGUGACAACCGCCUCUUUGAAUUACGACAAGAAAGACGAUGAGGCUGGAGAAAUGAUGGAGCAUUUGCUACAUUUUCAAAAGGUCCAGAGAAUCACUCCACAGAUCCUGAACCCAUGCAAAUUGAUGCGGUACGUUUCAAACCCCUCACAGCUGAGGAAAGGAAGCGACGGUUUGAACAAAACUUGUGUUUAUAUUGUGGAGAAGCGGGCCAUAAAGUUGUAGAUUGUCGGAAGAAACAGAAGCUUCAAACAACAAGACUCACGAGUACAAGCAUAUAGGAAAACAAGGAUGCCCAGCCACAAUAGGGACCGUGCGGCUGGACAUCUCAACAUCCAAAAUUAAUCAAGGUCCCUUUCUCUCAGCUCAACCUUUAGAUUGUUUUAUGGUACCUUUACAUCUGGGUAUUCAAGAACUACAAGUCGAUGCUUUAUUAGACUCGGGUACAUCCGCUUGCUUUAUAGAUGAAGAGUUUGCUAAGCUUCACAAUAUUUCUCUUGUAAAGAAACUUAAGCCUGUCCAUGUAGAAGUCAUAGACGGACGACCAUUGUCUUCGGGCAAUGUUAUCCAUGAAACUAAACUAUUGAAGGUACGUCUUGAAAACCAUGAGAGCAAUAUUGUGUUUAAUGUUAUCAAGACCCCUUCAUGUCCUAUCAUUUUGGGACUAUCUUGGCUUGAUAGAUAUAAUCCAUUGAUAGAUUGGAAGUUGCGAAAAGUGACAUUUCCAACAAACUCCUUGAAGGUGGAAUCUGCCAAGACAAUGUCUAGAAACAAAUCCUUGUUUAUAGGUGCAAGGGCUUUCAUGAAAGAAGCCAAGCAAAAUACACCUCUUGUCAUCUUCGCAACUCCGACUCGAGAAGAUGUAACUUUGACUUUGGUUAUUCCAAAGCAGCAUGAAGAAUUCAAAGAUGUCUUUGAAAAGAAGAAUGCUGAUAUGCUGCCAGAGCAUCGACCCUAUGACUGUGCCAUUGAAUUGCAAGAAGGAGCACAACCACCUUUUGGACCAAUCUACAAUUUGUCGCAGACGGAGUUGACUGAGUUGCGGAAGUACAUUGACGAGAAUCUAGCCAAGAACUUCAUCCGUCAUUCGAAGUCGCCAACUGGGGCACCAAUCUUAUUUGUGAAGAAGAAGGAUGGCUCACUACGGAUGUGCAUGGACUAUCGAGGUCUCAACAAGGUGACAAAAAAGAAUCGCUACCCGUUGCCUUUGAUCUCUGGUCUUCUAGAACAACUUGGGCAUGCAAGGAUCUUUACAAAGAUUGACCUAAGGAAAGCUUACAACCUUGUGCGAAUUAAGGAAGGAGAUGAAUGGAAGACAGCGUUCCGAACAAGGUAUGGCCAUUUUGAAUACAAUGUCAUGCCAUUUGGUCUUACUAAUGCUCCAGCGGUCUUUCAACACAUGAUGAAUGACAUCUUUCGAGAGCAUCUAGACGAUUUUGUUGUCAUCUAUCUAGAUGAUAUUUUGAUAUUUUCUAAGAACGAGGAAGAACAUGAGAAGCAUGUUCGUCUGGUACUCAAAAAACUACGGGAGCGAGGACUCUAUGCCAAAUUGGAGAAGUGCUUAUUUCACCAAACUGAGAUGGAGUUUUUGGGAUUCAUCGCGACUACGGAAGGCUUGAAGAUGGAUCCAAAGAAGGUGGAAGCAAUCAUGUCUUGGAAAGUUCCGAAGAUGGUUAGGGACGUACAAUGUUUUCUUGGAUUUGCUAACUACUAUCGGAUCUUCAUCAAGAAUUAUUCUCAAGUCGCUGCCCCUCUCACUCGGUUAACGUGUAAGGACAAGCUCGAAUGGGGACCUAUCGCAGAAAAAGCAUUUCAAGAUUUGAAGAUGGUAUUUACUACAGCUCCAAUCUUGGUACAUCCGGACUUUACAAAGGCCUUUUAUUUGGAGACAGAUGCUUCGGAUUUUGCUUUGGGAGCUGUACUUUCACAGAUGGGCAUAGAUGAGAAGCUCCAUCCAGUUGCAUUCUAUUCUCAAAAAUUCUCUGCUGCUGAGAUCAACUAUGAGAUCCAUGAUAAGAAACUCCUUGCUAUAGUAGAUUCUUUCCAAGAGUGGCGCCACUUUCUCGAAGGAACUGCACAUCCAGUGACCGUAUAUACGGAUCACAAGAAUUUGGAGUAUUUUAUGUCGGCUCGGAUUUUGAAUCGGCGUCAAGCUCGGUGGAGUAUGUCGCUAUCCAGUUUCGACUUUGUUAUUACUUAUCGGCCUGGGAAGCAACAAGGGUUGUCCGAUGCAUUAUCAAGGAGAUCAUAUCUCGUGCCAAAGGCUGGAGAUGCAGCAUUUGAUCAACAGUGCGCGACAUUGUUGAAGCCAGAGAAAUUUCGGCUCAACGCAGCUAUUGUACCAAUUGAUGCUGACUUCCUCGACUAGGUACGGGCGGCAUCUAUUGAAGAUUCUCUAGCCCUUGAUAUCAAGCAACAUGCUAGUGAUGAUAAAUUCAAGAUGGAAGGAGAUCUAGUAUAUUUCGAAGAGCGGUUGUAUAUCCCAAAAAGGCCAAUACGACUCCGAGUUCUUCAAUCUCGUCAUGACUUUCCAGCUGCGGGACAUUUUGGAUUCAAUAAGACCUUGGAACUUAUUUCUCGCGAUUUCUGGUGGCCUCAAAUGUGGAAGGAUGUGAAAGAUUUUGUUGUAUCUUGUGACAUUUGUUCAAGAUCCAAAAAUCCUCGACAUCGGCCUUAUGGACUUCUACAGCCAUUGCCUAUUCCACGCCGACCAUGGUCUUCGGUUUCCAUGGACUUUAUUACGGAUCUACCACCAUCGAAUUCAUUUGACAGCAUUUUUGUUGUCGUAGACCGGCUUACAAAGAUGGCACAUUUUGUCCCUUGCAAGAAGACAUCGUCAAGCGAAGACACAGCAAGACUCUUUCUUGAUGAUGUGUAUCGAUAUCAUGGUCUACCAGAUGAUAUCGUAUCGGAUCGAGGAACCCAGUUUGUGUCAAAGUUUUGGAAAUCUUUUUUUGAAAUAUUGAAGGUGGAUAUCAAGCUUUCUUCGGCAUUUCAUCCUCAAACGGACGGCCAAACAGAACGGGUGAAUCAAGUUUUAGAGCAAUAUUUACGUUGCACCAUCAACUAUCAACAAGAUGAUUGGGUCGCAUAUCUAUCGCUAGCCGAGUUCGCAUAUAACAACACCCUUCAUGCGUCAACUCAACAAACGCCAUUCUUUUCCAAUUAUGGAUACCAUCCGAAGCUUGACUUAUGGAGUUCGUUAACGAUUAACAAUCCGGCAGCUGAAGGAUUGGUGAAGGAGCUUUCGCAACUUCAAACUACAUUGAAGCUUCAAUUGCAAACUGCCCAAGAAUCUUACAAGGCGUUCGUGGAUAAAUUUCGGAAUCAGGCACCUAAAUUCACGAUUAGAGACAAAGUUUGGCUGCUUCGACGAAAUAUUAAGACCAAGCGGCCAUGUGACAAAUUGGACUAUCUGAGAUUGGGACCAUUUGUUAUCCAGAAGCGGAUCAAUCCUGUAGCGUAUCGUCUGAAGUUACCAGCUACUAUGAAGGUACAUCCUGUCUUUCAUGUUUCUUUGUUGGAGCCUUAUCAAGAAUCGUCUUUUCCUGGAAGAGUACAAUGUCCACCACCUAGCAUAGAAAUAGAGAACCACGAAGAAUACGAGGUGGAAAAGGUCCUGGAUUCACGACAAAGACGGGGUAAAUUAGAAUACUUUGUGCAUUGGAGCGGUUACAAUAUUAAUGAACGAACAUGGGAGCCGGCCGAAAAUCUCGCAAAUGCGCCGCAAAAGGUACAGGAGUUUCAUCGACGAUAUCCUGAGAAACCCAAGCUGGUUCGACGAUAGCUUCUUACUGAAGCUUGUUCAUCCAGAAAACAGAAAAGAGGAGAGAGCACCACCAAAAUCCAUAGUUGAUGUAGUCAUUCUCUCCAAGAUAGCGUAGAACUUUGUUAGUAGCCCAAGUUUGUUCUUAUUGUUUUAGCCUUUGAAUAGGAAUAGCCAAGAUACUACACUUGUCAUGUCAUCUCAAGCAACUAGCUCACGAAGACGACUGCGAGAUGAAGAACCGCUUGUACCACGACGACGUCGAAGGAUUCCGAGCAACAGAUCGCUGGUGAUUGUAUUUGAGGUCGAGCCUGUCUACAAUGGUCAGCUAGAAGGAGUGUUUGCAGGACAAUUUCACAAUGAAGACACGGAGGUUCAUGCUUGGUCAGAAGUUGAAGGCGUGGGCCACUACCGUUGGCUUCAAGGACCAUUGAAUCACUUGCCUCGUGAACAACAAUUGGAGUUCAUAGUAGAGGUUAUGCGACAGAUCUUCAUUUUCUUGCGUUGGUAUUGACUGACGAUAACAUUGCUUCUCGGAGACCUCGAAGCUAAAGGAGGAGGUGAUGUUAGGGACAUAGUCCUUAGACCAUUCUAGAGACAAGUUUCUAGAACCUUCUAGAAAGAAGUCUCUAGAAACUUCCAGAAGAUUCUUUGAAUAUUCUCUUAGAAUAUUCUUUAAAGAUUCUCUAAAGAUUCUUUGAAGAUUCCCUAAAGAUUCCCUUAGAAGGUUCUAGAAGAUUCUUAGAAUAUUCUAGUAGAUUCUAGGAAGUUACUUGAGAAGCUUCCUAGCUCUUGGGUAGUUGCUCGAGAAGCUUCAUAGUUCUUGGGAAGCUUCUUGAUGCGCUUCCUUAGAACCAUAGGCCAGUAGUAUAUAUAGGAGUCGAGGUUGAAGAGUUCUUCAGUCUCGACAACACAUCUUUUGAAGCUCUAGUUCAAUUCUCUUGGCGUUGCUCUUGUACUCAUCUGAUAAUCUAGUUCUUGUCAUUUCUUCUUGAACUUCUUGUUUAGAUUUCUUGUUUGUAUUUUUGGUCCGUGACACCUUCUUACAAGUCUAUGGCACAAUCAUAUGGUCGAUGUUCCGGUAGCAUGUUGGCAUUCUUCUUUUGAAACACGUCUUUAAAAUCCUUAUAUUUCUCCAGUAUAGUUGCUGUGAAGAUCUUCCCUUCGGUAGUUGGAGCCGCAUAAAUGACAAAUGGUGUGCCUUCCUUGGAUGAUCUUACAAACGCUCUUGCUCCAAUGAAUAAGGAUUUCUCUAUUCGGGAUUUUCUACUAGGCUUGCUCUUGGAUGAUUUUGUGGAAAAGGUCAUCUUCUGCAACCUCCAAUCUAUGGAUGGGUUAUGCUUUUCCAACCAAGAAAGACCAGGAAUAAUAGGAUUUGAUGGAAUUCUAAUAAUAUUGAAAAUAAUAUGACUACUAUGGCCCUUAAACGUCACUUCUAUAGGUUUUGAUUCAUGGGUGACACUACCAGACAAUAAAGGUCGUCCAUCUAAGACUUCAACGUGAACAGGUUUGGAUUUUUGUACUAAAGGGAUCUUAUGACGCUUCACAAAUUCUUUGUCUAAGAAACAAGCAGAUGCUCCUGAAUCUAAUAAUGCUAAGGUUCUCAGUUUUUGAGGGCCAAUAAACAAAGGGAUUGUAAAACAAAGGGCAGGUUGAGCGGAAAGAAAGGAACAAUUGUUGUUGCGAUAUUUCACUGUCCAGCCGCACGGUUCCUAUUGUGGCUGGGCAUCCUUGUUUUCUUGAACAAACGCGCCCCUGAUCCUAAUAAUGCAUCGAUUUUGCUUCUUGGGGCAGUUUCCAACUUUUUGGCUUUCUUCACCACAAUAUAAGCAUAGACCUUCUUCCAUAUACCGCUUUUUUUCUUCUAGAGUAAGGGAUUUGAUACAUACCGCAUCAAUUUGCAUGUCUUCUACCUCUGAAUGUGAAUUCACGCUAUCGUAUUACGUGCUUUCUGCUCGAGAAUGCGCCGGGCGUCUGGCUGUAGAAGGUAGUAUGGAGAUUCGCUAAUAUUCAAGCAGUUUAUCGAUUUUUGACUGUUGAAAUAUAAAUAACUGCAAGAAUAUACCGUAAAUCUAUACGGAUGUCCUUCGACUGCUCGCUAAAGUCCUUUUUAUCCCAGCCGGUAGGUCUUUAGACGUUACAGAGAACCCCGAAUAACCCAAACUGCUAAUCUUCGAUACCGCUUUAUACUCACGAUCUUAUAUCCACUGACUGUCUCGUUAGAUUAACCCAAUAAAUUUCAUUCACUCCACAUAAUCAAUCCUAUAGACACCCUUUUAAUUCUUCAAUCACAGAUGUAACUUUGAUUUCACAAAACAGUCAAGAGUAAUCACACUCACUUCAUUAAAAUCCCGAUUUACCAGUACAAUACUGACUUCACCAACGAUUGCCUCAAUCUUCCCAAAAUCCUAUGAAGAAAAAAAAAACCCCCAAUUCUCUAUCUUUUCUUUCCCGACCCAAAGCAUGAAGCUCGCU